UAAUCCCAGCUGUGCCGCACCGCCUUUUAACCCCUGUUUCGUGUUGACAAGGAGCUCAUCUCUUCCGCUUCGUCUUAGCCAGUUCGUCUGGACAAGGAGAAGCUCCUUCGAUUCGGCUGGACAAGGAGAAGCUCUUUUCUUCCGUUUCUUCUGUUCAUCGAUUCACUUGUCCUUGUAUCAAUUAUUCUUCAGUCAGCUAAUUUGGUCAUUGGCAAAAAUUUGUGAAGUAUAAAGAAAUUACAAAUCCUUGGUCAGGAAUCAACCCUAACUUCCAGAAUCCAGAAUUCAAUCUGUUGAUCUAAAAGCAUCAGGUAUUAUCUCUCUCAGAGUUUUUCAAUCGGCCCCUCACCCUAGCUAUUGUGUCUGUUGCUUUUGUGGGUUCUGUUAAUUCUGAUUUCUAGAGCCCAAUUGUAUUAAGCAGGUGAAACUCAAAUUAAGCAAUUAUGGGAGGUCAUGGAGGUCUUAACAUCCUUCCUCAGAAGCGGUGGAAUGUAUACAAUUAUGACAACAGAGAAAAAGUCCGGCGAGAUGAAGAAGCCGCCUCUAGAGAAGAGCAAUUAAAGCGUGAGCAGUCAAGAAAGCGCGACGCCGAGUUUCGCCUUGAGCGGCUUCGAACUGCUCGUGGUUUACCUCCUUUAAAUAAAUCAGAAGCAGAGCUCGAGCCAGAGCCAGAGCCCAGGCCGGAGCCUGCUCAAUCAGAACCAAAGUCCAACCACAUUAAUCUGUUUGAAGGGAUGAAGAUUUUUGACCCAAUUAAGGAAUUGGAGAAAGGGGGAGAUGCCGAGAGAGACGGAUCUAGAAAGAAGAAGAUGAAGAAAGAGGAGGUGAGAGUUGUUACUGCAGAGGAGGAGAAGUAUAGGUUGGGUUAUGGGGUUGCCGGAAAAGGAGUUAAGUUGCCCUGGUACCUCGAGAAACGCAGUGAUGAUGUGAAUGAGGAGAAGGAUGAAGAUGAUGGGUCCACGAGAGGGAAGAAGGAGGGUAAGAAGAGUGGCAAGAAGACAUUGCAAGAACUAAGGGAGGAAAGGCUGAAAAGGGAGAAGCAGGAGAAAGAGAGGGUACGGGCAUUGCUGGAGAAUAAGCAGAGAGAUAGAGCUGGUUUUAGGAGUGGAAUGAUUUCCAGGAGGUGAGUUUAUUGAGGGAUUUAUUAAGUUAGUAUAUUUUGCCUCUUUUAAAGUUGGUCUGUCUGCAAAUUUAAUGUGCACAAGCAUGAAAUUCGGCCUCUUGGUCAGCAUGUCAAUUUGAUUGUUAAUUCUGAUGUAUUUCUUUUUAGUUGUAGUGCUAUCUUAUAUGUCUGGAUUAAGAGCCUUCUAUAGGCUUCAUUUGGAUUCUUAUGUACAUCCUGAGUUUGAGAACUUAUUAUUUGUGAUUUUAAUACAACAUGAAAGAUUGAAAAGAAUCAAUGGGGCCUUCGUCCAUAUCAUAUAUAUGACUAAUGAAUCUUUGGUGAUGCUUAGCCUUCUUGUUUUAGGAUUCUAUUUAGUCAUCUGAUAGCAUUCUGGAAGGUAGUUCUGCCAUCUAUGCAACCUUAAUUACUGUCUUGGCCCUGCAUUCACAAAUUAAGAAGAGGCUUUGUCUAGUUUGUCUUAGAAACACUGCUAGAUCCAUUGUCUCAUUCCCGCAAUUUUGUCAAAUUUCAGGAUAUGUUAGCUAUUGAUGUUGUACAGAACUAACUCCAGUAAAUUGACUGUUGUGUUUUUAUUUUGACCCCUAAUGGCAUGUAGUUGUGGAUGGACUAGAUCAAUUCAAGCAAAAUCUUUGCUAUAAGACUCUUGUAUCAUCUUUGAAUUUUUGCUAUAGUUUAAAUGGAAGUAUUAAAAGAAUGCUUUACUCAACUGAUGCUGAUCAAGGCUGAUAAAUCAGAAAUCCCGGUGACUGCACUUUACCUGGCUUGGCUCAUAGUAUACAUGUAAAUCCAGGGUUUGCAUGAUUAAUAUAAAUAUAUCCACUAUCCCAGGGUCACAUAACAGAGCUGCUGCAUUCUUUUUCCUUUUUCUUCUGAAGAAUUUUUGUGCUAGCUUUUGUGUGAACGGUUUAUAGGCGUAUUGUGCUUGGACCGAUUAAGGAGAAAAUGAAACAUCAUGCAUGUGUUUGUUAAGAAAAUGAAGGAGUUGAGUCACUGAGUAUUUGAGUCUUUAUAAAGCUGUAUAUUGGGCAGAACAUGAAUGCAAAGGUCUAGAAUAAGGGGGCAUUACUGUUGAGAAUUUCUGGACAUGGAUAGGAGCUGUUGAAAAUUUUCUUAAGAGUGUCCUGAGGCGUUGAGAACUCCAUAAGCAUAUAUUGAUAAUGGCAAGGUGCCUUGCAUUUCUGCAAAGUGGCCUAUGUUUGCUAGAGAAGUGAUAGCUUAUAUAAUUGUUACCCAUAGAACCUUUCAGCCUAAAGUGUGUUAUAUUUUACCUCAUAUAUUUUGAGAUGCUAGAAGUGGAGAUUGGAAUAAACUAAUGUCUGAAUUGAAAGUUAAUUUUUAUAUUAAAAUAUUUAAAAAUUAUAAAUAUUAUUUAAUAAUUUAUAUAAACCAGUUUAAACAGAAAGUAAACAUAUAUAAAAGCAAAUAGAUAGUUAAAUUCUAUUUACGAGUAUUAAUUUUUAAAUUUAAAUUUAGUUACGUACUAUUUAAACUUAUUUUAAUAGAAUUUGAUAAAAUUAGAUAUCCGAAAAUACUCUAAAUAUUCUCUUAAUUUUGAAUGUAUAUUAUUAUUAUUUUUAUAUUUAAGAUAUCUACAUAUUUCUAUAAAUUAAAUUAUUUAUAUAAUUUAAAUAUAAGUAUCGUGCACACCACCUAUCCAUAUCUUUUUUUGAGUAGCUCGCAAUGAUGCUUAAACUUUUAAGAAAUUAAAAAUCAAGUUUGACGCUGACAAUACUCUAUUAUUUUCUUGAUAUCUCUCUCUCUCUAUAUAUAUACAUAUAUAACAUAUUUAAUCAUACUUAAUAAUUAUUAAGUAGUUAUUUACAUAUUUAUAUAAAAUAACUAUAAAUUCCAAUUAAUUAUUAAUGAUUUCUAACCAUUAAUUUAAUUAAUUAGUUACGGUUUAUAUAAUUAUAAUUUGUUCUAUCUAAAAGAAUUUACAUAUGAUCUCCAUAUUAAUAAUUGCUAAAAACUGCAUGAUUUUGACAUCCAAAAACUAAGGAUAAAUGUCAUAAAUCCCCGUAAAGACAGAUUUUCUCCAUUGUACCAAGUUUAACGCUAAUUCUUGAAGCAUGUAUAUAAUAAAUUUAAAUAUAUUAAUAUUACUUCAUUCAUAAUUUUUAUUUAUUUUAUUUUUUAUAUAUAUAUUAAAAAAUAUAAUUUUUUAUUGAUAUUUUAAUUAUAUUUAUUUUAAAUAAAUUAAAUUUUAUUAAAUAUUAAACAAUGUUUUAAAAAAAAUUUAAAAAUAAAAUAAAAUAAUAAUAAUUAAUUUAUAUGUUAUUAUAGUUUAAAAAAAGUGAAUAAUAAUUUUAAAAUAAUAAAAAUAUAAAUAAAAAUAAAAAUUAUGAAAUGAAAAAAAUAAUAUAAUAAUAUAAUUACAUAAUUUUAUUUAAAACCGCAUAAUUUUGAUUUAAAAGAAUGAGUACAAAUUCUCAACAGUCAAAAACUGCAUAGCUUAUAUAUAGCUUACCAUAUAUCUAUGCAGUUUUGGUCUGAAAAAUAAGGGUUAUCUCAUUCAUAAAUUAAAGUGAUUUUAUAAUUUGAUUCUGAAUUAAUAUAAUAGAAUCAAUAAUAUAUAUAUAUUUAACUAAGUUGAUUAUGUUUAUAUUAAUAUAUUUAUUUUAUAUAUACAUUAUAUAUGGUAAUUUUUUAAAUUAUAUAAUAUUAAGAAAACUCAAAUGAUAAAUAUUAAUAAUUUAUUUGUAGUAUAUACAUUAUCUUUUAAAUUAAAUGUGUGCUUUUUAAAUAUAUAUAUCAAAUGUGUUUUUCCAGCCAGGUUAGUUUAGUUAACGGCAUAGUUUUGAUAUAAAAAGGAAAAAACCAAAUAAAUCCUACACCUUCCUUUUGUUCCCAUGAUUUUUAGAUGAGCACUGAGCUCGAGUUGCCUGCGCAUGCCCUAAGCCCCUGAAUCUCUAAUGCACAUUCUCCAGCCAUAGUCCCAGCUGUGACACACCGCCUUUAAUCCCUGGUUCGUAUGGACAAGGAGCUCUUUUCUUCCACUUCGUCUUAGCUAGUUCGUCUGGACAAGGAGAAGCUCGUUUCUUCAAUUUGGUUUAUUCUUCAAUUCAGCUGGACAUGGAGAAGCUCUUUUCUUCCAUUUCUUCUGUUCUUCGAUUCACUUGUCCUUGGAUCAAUUCUUCUUCAGUCAGCUAAUUCGGUCAUUGGCUUGCUUCCAUUCGAUAUUUAUUAGCAGAACGGUUAGUGUUCCUUAAUCAAUUGGUUGUUUUGAUUAAUAUUGGUUGUCCAUGGUGAGAUUUGUGGGUUUUGUCAGUUACAUAAUGUCCUAGGAACUGCAUUAAGUUACAUUAGUUGGUUUAUUACCUAAAUCUAUUAGUUAUUUUGAGAUGUGCACUUGCAUUACAUUGAAAGGAUAUGUGUCAAUAUUGCUAAUUCGGAAUUUGAAUGGAUUCAGAUAGGAUACGGGUUUAAUUGAUCAAAUACUCGUUAUUCGAAUUCUAUCGGCUAAUAGAAUUUAAAUUUAGAAUAUUCAUGACUAUUCACGUAGAAAAUCCGUCGCAUUGAACACUAGACAUCUCAAAAUUUUGUGUUUGAGUUUCACCAAAACACUAAUUUUAAUAUUUAUAAAUUUUAUGUUAAUUUAUAAAUAUGUAUUAUACGCAUCUUGUUCAUUUAUCAAUUAUAUAUUGAAUAUUAAAUAUGAAAUAUUAUUUUAAUAUAAAAAUUAUUAAGUAAAUUAUAUUUUAUUUUUUAAAUUUUAACAUAACUGAUCUUUAUUUUUAAAAUCAAACACUUAAAUUUUAAAAAUCUCAAUAUUUUUAUUCCAUUUAAAUUAAAAGUCUUUCUAUCUUAAAAUAUAUUAAAAAAAGUCUUCCUUGAACUCUCUUUUCUUUUCUCCAUUUCAUCUCAUUCAAAUCCCAUAAUCCUUCUUUUCAACAUUCAUCUCUCUCAAACAAACUCUCAUUCUCUUCCAUCAUUUUAUCUCUCUCAAGCUUCUCUUCCCCCAUUUUUGCAAUUUCCACAAGAGGAGUAUCAUAUUAGGGAGAGCACGUGAUGGUUAAAUUCCAUAAACUUUUCAUCUUAUGGUAAUAAUAAAAAUGAUUUAGUUGUAUAAGGUAUUUGAAUGAAUGAAAAUAGUUGUUUUGUAAUGUUUGUUUUAACCGUGAAAAAUAUGAGGAAUUAAAAAUAAUAAAAAUUUUGAGAAAAUUGUAAUUUUUGAAUUCAGAAACUGAUAUGAUUUAAUACAUAAAAAUUGAAUAAUUUAAGUAUUUAUAAUUACUUGAAUUUUAUACCCAUAAAAUUUGUGAAAUAGCAGCAAGUAAAAAAAUUUCAAAUUAUUUUGUGUUCAUAUAUAAAAAAAAAUAAGUUAAUAUUAUAUAUUUAAUUUCAUUUUUUACUAAGAAAAUUAAAAAUGGUGGAAGUUUUGAGAAAACUACAAAUUUUAAAUUUAGGGAUUAAUAUGUUUUAAUACAUAAAAAUUGAAGAAUUUAAGUGUUUAUAAUUAUUUAAAUUUUAUAUCUAUAAAUUUUAAGAAAUCAUCGUAAGUUAGAGAAUUUCAAAUUUUGUUUUGUGUUUUUAUAUAAAGAGGAAGGAGGUAAUAUUAUAUAUUUAGUUUGAUUUGAUAUCAAAGAAAUUAAAAAUAAUAAAAACUUUAAAAAAAAACUGCAGAUUUUGAAUUCAAUAACCUACUUGUUUUAAUAUAUAGAAAUUACAAAAUGAGAAAGGAAGGAGAAUUUAAAUUUUUAGAUAUAAAAGUUUAUUUUGAACUAACGGAGAAAUAAAUGAAACUACUAUAUAUUUGAAUGUAAUAUUAAAGAGAUUUAAGUAUUCGAUUUUAAAAAUAAAGAGAUUGAUCUGUUAAUUAUGAUAUAAUUUAGAGGUUAAAAUAUAAUUUAUACAAAGUUAUUUAAUUAUAUUAUAAUAAUUAAUUAAUUAUUAUGAGUAGAUUAUAAGACUAACUCUCUAAUAAAUUAUGAUAACAUAUAUUAAUAGAUGUCUAACUACGACUUUAAUAUAUAUUUAUUAUGUUUAAUAUUUAAAUUUUAAAUAAUAAUAAUAAUUAAUUUUAAUUUAUAAAUACUAAAUAGAUAUACACUUAAUUUAUAUGUUUAGGUUAAUUAAUAAAUUAAUAAAUAAUAUAUAUAUAUAUAUAUAUAUAUAAUCAACAAAUGACUUUUGACUUAACUCUUCAAGAUUUAAUAGAUGGCAAUAAUAUAUAUUUAAUUAUAUUUUCUAAUAGAUGUCAAACUUAAUAUUUAAAUUAUAACUAAUAAUAAUAAUUAAUCUUAAUUUAUAUGAGAAUAUUACUUAAUUUAUAUAUUUAGGUUAAUUAACAAAUAUAUAUAUAUAUAUAAUCAACAAAUGACUAUCAAUUGACAUUUUAAUAGACGACAAUAAUGUAUAUUUAAUUAUAUUCUCUAAUAGAUGCUUACCUACAAUUUUAAUAUAUAUCUAUUAUGUUUAAUAUUUAAAUUAUGACUAAUAACAAUGAUAAACUAUUGCUUAACUCUUUAAUAAAUGACAAUAAUGUAUAUUUAAUUAUAUGUUCUCUAACUAUAAGCAUAUAUUGAUUAUGUUUAAUAUUUGAAUUACAACUAAUGAUAAUAAUUACUUUUAAUUUAUAAGUAUUAAAAUUAAUUAGUAUUUUUAUUUUUAUCAAAUAAUUAUUUUUAAGAUAUAUAUAUAUUUAAUAUUUAUAUACACUAAGUUGUAAACUUCUGAUUAUCAAAUCAGCAAUUUAAAUUAUAAAUGAUUAUUUUAAUAAUUAAUAUUUAAAAAAGCCUAUUGCACAAAAAAAUUCACACCCUGACCACUUUUUACCACAUUUUACUUUUUUAUCGUAACUUUAAAAUUUUAAAUAAUAAAGCUAAUCUUUUCAUAUUUGUUUCAAUUUUAUCAUUUUAUCUUAAUUAAUUUUAAUAAAAAAAUGUUUAAUAUUAUAUUAAAUAAAAAAUAUAAACAUUUAAAUUAAUUUAUAUUUAUAUAUAAAAUUUUAAAUUUUAAAAAAUAAAAUUCAUUUUUUAUUUGUCAUAAUUAUACUUAAAAAAUUAAAUUAAAUACAAAAAAUUAAUAAUAAUUUAUAAUAUUAUAACGACCCGAAAAUCGGAUCGCCACCGGCGCUAGGAUUCAGGUCGGCUUAAGGCCGCCAGAACCCGUAGCAAGCCUGUUAUACUCUCUGUAUACCUGUAAAUCUCAUACAUGAUCAUAAAUUUUCUGUGAAAAUAAAAACUUUUUUCUGGAUCAAGGCUCAACCUGUGCAUGCACUAUCUCUAUACUAUAGAACUCCCUGACUAGAGCUUGCUCCAGAUGGGUUAACUCAUACCUGUUAAGCUUGGUUUUUCACCUGCUCAUAAAACAGUGACAUAAACAGACUAUGUACACAAAAGAUUUACAGUACAAAUAAGUCAAGCACAACGUUAACUUAAAACACAACUAUUACAUCUCUUUAAUAUUACAUGUCCACACUAUACUAUUACAAAACUCUUUUCUCUUCCUGUACCCUACUGAACUUUCCCUGUAUACUGAACCUGCAAGACUGGGGUUAAGGGAGUGGGAUGAGCUCUAUAGCCCAGUGAGUAGAACAGUAAAACAGGUCAUUAACACAUGCUCUUAUGGAAUGCAUCAUAUCACAGACAAUUCACAUCAAGGGUAAACCUGUCACCACAAUAGUCCCAGUAUCACUUCCGUGCCAGGGCGUAGAAUGGGCACCUGGUCUUCCUGUCAUGUAUAUCUAUAUGUGUAUAUAACACCUGUACUUACCAUUGUGUCAGGGCGUAGACUGGGCACCUGGUCUUUUCUAUACCUGCCAGGGCGUAGAAUGGGCACCUGGUCUUUCUCAGGAACUAUUUGGAUCAUUCAGCAUCCACCCACAUCAACAAGUACGUAUGCAAUGCAACAUAUUCGUGAUUUCUAAUGCAAUCAACCUAGUACAUACUCAUGAUGUAUGAAAGAUGCUAAAAGCAUUAUUUUCUCAAUUAAAAGAAUUAAAUUGAGUUCCACUCACCUCUGGCUAUCUCUGGACUGAUUCUGCAAACUCUGAAGCAGUACUCACUGCUGCUCUCUUUGGUUCCUCUGGUCUAUGCCUACACAGAUGGACUCAAAUGAGGGACCAAACUAGCUCAAGAACAACUUUCUAAAACUCCUCAAGACUCCCCUUAAAUACCCUAAAACAAUCAGACAAAGCAUGCAAAGGAAGGCUGGACAGGGCACUUUCAGCGGCAGGUUCGGCGGCCGAAAGUCCUCUCCAGAGCCGAAAUGGAACAAUUGGUACUCACUCUCACCAGACUAUUCCCUUAAAGUAGGAGGUCAAGGGUUCGAGUAGUGGGGGAGACGACCUAAUUUCCAAAGGGAAAUUUGGGCCAAAUCCACUUGGGGAAGGAUGCGAUACGAGAACCCAAGGGGACAAAUCCUGCCAGGAACCCGUGAGGGUGAAUGGAUGUUAAGAGCUGUUCACGACGCCAGUGGAAAGCCCGAGGUGGCACGAGGCCAGGCGAGGGAUAGCCCUGGGCCGUGAACGGUAACAGUACCGGUGAAAGGGCCGGGUUGUUACACAUGCACCUUCGGCGGCCGAAUCUCUACUUUCGGCAGCCGAACCCUUUCGGGGACAAGUUUCGGGGGCUGAAAGGCACUCCAGAGACGAAAGUCCAUAACCUUCGGUGGUACCUUCGGCGACCGAAACUCCCCUCCAGAGCUGAAAGUCCAAACUCUCGGGGGCAAGCUUAGGCAACCGAAGCCACCUCCUCAGCACAUUCGGCGGCCGAACCACUCUUCGGCGGCCGAAGCUGGGUUCAUUAGCAAGGCAGAACCUUGCUCUGCCUCACGCCAAAACACACCAAUCUCAACCAAACUCAAACACCACAAUUCCUCUACAUCCAUAUACUCACGUAUAUGCACAAAGGGGUCAAAAACUACCUAAAACCCCAACUCAAACAUAACACAACACACAUAUACAUACUUUCAUCACAAAAACACCAAAAACACACGUUUUGCCCUAUUCAUGCAACUCUACCCUUAAACUCCAUAAAACCUCCACAAAAACAUGAAAAGAAGCUCAGGAUCUUCACUUACCUCUUGACACCAAGAAGAUGACCGAUCCUAAUGUGGAGAUAUGGAGCAACUCUCCUUCAAACCUCUCCAAACUUCAAAACUUAUGUUUUUAGCUCAAAACCUUCAAAAUAACAUAAAAACCAAUCAAACAUUUGCAAGAUUUGAUGAAAACAUGAAGAAGAUUCAAGGAAAAGCAUGGUCUCACCUCGGCCUAUGCAAAUGAACUCAAUCCUUAUCCAUUUGCCGACUGAGGGCCUUUUAUAGGUGGCUGGCCAGACCACCUUCGACGGCCUAACGUGAAACCAAAAGUCAUGCAUGUUCGGCUGCCGAACAUCACGUUCGGCUGCCGAACAUCACCUUCGGCUGCCGAACUUGACUUUUCUGCCUUGGUUCUUUUAUCUCAAAAACUCAUUUCCUUUUAACUUUAAAACUAUAUAGCAUACUAAAAUACUUUAGAAAAACAUAAAUCUUACCCUUCUAGAGGAUUCCGACAUCCUGGAUCCCACCGGAAAGUAGAAAUCCGAUACCGGAUUCUAGCCGGGUAUUACAAAUAUAAUCUUUAAAAUUUUAUUUGACUAAUAAAAUAAUUUUUAAAUAUAUAUUUUUAUUUCCAUAAUGUAUUUUUUAUUAAUCUUAUUAUUUACUUUUGAUUCUUAUUUUAUACACGCUAGUUUAAUAGAAAUUUAAAAUGUAAAUAAUUAUAAUAUAAAAUAUAUAUCACAAGAUUACUUAUUAAAUACGUGAAUAAAAUAAAAAUAUUAAAUAUCUCNNNNNNNNNNNNNNNNNNNNNNNNNNNNNNNNNNNNNNNNNNNNNNNNNNNNNNNNNNNNNNNNNNNNNNNNNNNNNNNNNNNNNNNNNNNNNNNNNNNNNNNNNNNNNNNNNNNNNNNNNNNNNNNNNNNNNNNNNNNNNNNNNNNNNNNNNNNNNNNNNNNNNNNNNNNNNNNNNNNNNNNNNNNNNNNNNNNNNNNNNNNNNNNNNNNNNNNNNNNNNNNNNNNNNNNNNNNNNNNNNNNNNNNNNNNNNNNNNNNNNNNNNNNNNNNNNNNNNNNNNNNNNNNNNNNNNNNNNNNNNNNNNNNNNNNNNNNNNNNNNNNNNNNNNNNNNNNNNNNNNNNNNNNNNNNNNNNNNNNNNNNNNNNNNNNNNNNNNNNNNNNNNNNNNNNNNNNNNUCAUUAUUUAAAAUUUUAAAUAUAAAUAUAAAUAUUUAAAUGUUUUAUUUAAUAAAAUUUAAAAAAAUUAUUUUACAUAAUUAAAAAUUUUUUAAUCAAAAUUAAUUAUGCAAAGUGACUGAAAUUAAGACAAAGUGAAAGUAUUAUAUAAAAAAUGAUAAAGUUCUGAUUUUUCUUUUUCCAUAGAGCUAAAAAAAAUUAUGUCUAUACUAACAAAACCACCCAAAGUCCCAAAUUCGCUUCCCACUUCCCAGCCCAGUCGGCGACAACCCUUCCCUCUCCCAGUCGGAGUCGGCGUCGCCUUUUCUCUCCUCAGUCGACGACAACUCUUCCCUCUCCCCAGUCAGCGACAUCUCCUUUUCUCUCCCCAGUUGGCGACAACUCCUUUCCCUCUCUCCAGUCGGCGACAACCCCUUUCACUCUCUCCUCAGUCGGUUUUUCUUUCUUUCGUUGAAUCGGUUAUUCUAGUAAUCAAGAUUUGACUGUAACUCUCUUCAGGUUUGUAAUCAGAUUUUGAUGAUAAAGAUUUUUUAAGUGCAUGUUGUUUAAGAUUUUUUAGUUGCUAUUAAAGAUCUUUAGAAUAUGGACUAUUAAUCUGAUUAUUUAGUUACUUUUAAAAAAUUUUUAGUUGCUGUUAAAGAUUUUUUAGGUAAUCAUCAAGAUUUUUUGUUUUGUUGUAUGAAAUAUUGUCAUUGUAAAUUUGCCAUUUAUCAUAGAAUUUCUAUUACCUUCUGUGAUAAAAUUGGGUGACCAGACUUCAGUCCCAUCUGGUUCUGUCUCUAUCACCUCACUAGAAGCACCAGAAUAUUCAUCUGAAUCAUCAAAUUUUGUAUAUGCCUUAUUCAUAGAUGGAGGCAUUCCUUCCAUGGAUGGAUCAAUGAUUUUAUCUGUUUUACCAAUAACCAAGAUUAGGCACCAAUUAUAUUGUUUAAUAGCACAACCUUACAAGAAUAGAAGAAAAUAGUGGCAUGCACCAUCAAGGUAGAAAAUGCUGCUAUAGAUUAGUCUGCAUUGAAAUUUUUUUAUGUCUUUCCACGUGCUUUAGUUCAUAUUUAUUAGUUCUUUGAUAAAGCUUUUAUCCCUUUCUUUUAAUGCUGGUUGAAUUAUAAUUUUAGCAUGGUUUAGAAUUAACUAGGUGAACUGGUGUGAUUAUUUUAGUUUGUGGUUAUGUAUUGACUUAAAUAAAUUUAUUUGUUGAUUAAGUUACUAUAUGUUAUUUGUUCUUGUGGUUAUAUAUAGUCCCUGGAACGGGAAUGAGUAUUAUGCGGGUAUUGUUAAAUGGAUUUGGAACGGAUAUGGGUGGUAAAAUUAAAAUACUAAACGGAUUUGAGACAGAUUUGGGAAUCGGGUUCGAAUUUGGGUACCCUCAAUUUUGCGGGUACCCUACCCUUUUACAUCCCUAGCUAUUUCGAAUACAGUAUAUUCAAGGCUCACAAAUAUCCACAACAAGGUUGCAACUGUUUUAUCUGUAAAUCUCAUUUAAAGUGCAAAUGAUUUUCUCUAUGCUUGCAUGUUUUGCCAUCCCAAAGUCUGCCAAUUUUAAAUGACCAUUUGGAUCCACAAGUGUGUUUGCUCCUUUUAUGUCUCUGUACAAGAAAUGCAAUUUAAAAUAUGAAGAAGCCUACAUAUGUAUGUGUGUGUAUAUAUAUAUGAAUCAUUAGCCUAGUGAUAUGAAUUGAUGGAAAUAUCUGUCCCAGUGUUGUAGAAAUUUCAAAUUUCCUACAGUUAUAUGGUUUAUGUGGCUGUUCCUCUGUUGUGCAGCUUAGGGGAGGAUGUUCAAGAAGUUGACAUUUUACUUGAUUGACCAUUGCCCAGCCAUUAUGUGGUACAUGUCUUACCUGAUAUAGAUGGUGCUCCUUUGCCUCAUCUAAACUGGGCCGGUUCUGACAUCUAUCCGUUUCAGUCUAAAUGUUUCAUCCAGAGAACAAUGUUGUUUAUUGGUCUCACUGAGCUCAGGCUUCUUGAACAAAUUUCUCAAAGCAUGCAUAGACCUCUGUAAGUAUUAAAAUCUGGACAUUCGCAUCAAUAGUGAAUAAUGCAAUGGGACUAUCACAACUUUUCAAGUUCUAAUGUUAGCUUCUCUUCAUUUGAUUUUCCAGGGGAAGAGUUCCUCUCUGGUCAAUUGCAAACUUGUGUAAUAAAUCAAAGUCAUGUAAACAUGUAUGGGCUUGUACUUCUUGGUUUAUAUUUUAAAAUGUCUAGUUAUCUCCUUGUUAAUUGCAAAACAGUUAGUGGUUCACAGUUUUGACUUCUAGUGAUGUUUGAACAGUUACUGACAACAUUGUUUACUGUGUAACAAUUAUGUGGUCACAGGGGGAUAGAAAUGUAGCUGGUGAUCUGGGAUUCUGUCGAAGUAUUGCUAUUUCAGUUGGUAAUAACAUGCAAACCUUCUACCUGGGAUGCAUUGCAUAUUGCUUUUUAUGUUAAUUAUACACACGAAUAUAUACACACAACCCACACCCGCACCCACCCACCCACCAAUCCAUGUGCUUAAAAAAUUACAAAGUAAUUUUAAUGUGCAAGUGUUAUAUUUAAUUGGUCUUUGGAAAUAUUUUNNNNNNNNNNNNNNNNNNNNNNNNNNNNNNNNNNNNNNNNNNNNNNNNNNNNNNNNNNNNNNNNNNNNNNNNNNNNNNNNNNNNNNNNNNNNNNNNNNNNNNNNNNNNNNNNNNNNNNNNNNNNNNNNNNNNNNNNNNNNNNNNNNNNNNNNNNNNNNNNNNNNNNNNNNNNNNNNNNNNNNNNNNNNNNNNNNNNNNNNNNNNNNNNNNNNNAAAAAAAAAAAAAAAAUCCAUCUUCCACCAGUUUGGGGUUUGGUGAUGUAGAUCUGAAUAAAUGUCUGACUGCUUAUACUUGUCAAUCAAUGUGUCUUAGUGCACUCUUGUAUGCAUGUGCUUAUAAGUACUUAAAGAAGAUGCUAAGAAUCAUGUAAAUAUUUUUUUUAAUGAUAUUUAGUACUGCAUGAUCUGAAAUGCAGGAGGUGAUUUUUUGGGAUAUGGAGAAGAAUUAACUAAAACUUCAAUUCAGAAGCAAAUUGUUGAUGCGCUUUACCUGGGUGAUAGAGGCAGAGCAUCCAAGCUGCUUUCAGAUCUCGGACAUGCUAACAAGUCACUAAGAGCUGCCGACUUUGUUGAUAUUUUUAAAUACUGUGCAAGAUCACCUGAUCCAUUGGUAAUCUAAUCACCUGGGAAAUUAGUUUAUCUAACAUUUCCUUCUUCAUCAUUUUUUCUUAUUUAUGUUGCCCAUAUAUAACAUAUAUAUUUUAAUUCAUUAGAUUGAAAAACUGGAUCAUUGUGCCAAAAUUGAAAUUUUUUGGUUUAGAUUGCAAAAGGACAAAAUGUUUGGAUUUUAAUACCACUAGGCCUAAAUAUAUAUGUCAUUUAAGCAAUUUGGGAGUUGUUGCACGUGUUUUGUUUCAAGUUGGGGUUGCUGUGGAUUUAAAUUGCUGUUGUGGUCAUAGUUAACAGAAACAAGACUGUAAUUUUUAUAAUGCAACAGUAAUGGCCUGUUGUUAUGUUAAUUGUUUUGAAAAAUUUGUUAUAUUCAUGAAAUGAAUAAAUAUUAAUAUGAGUAAAACUAAGAUAUACACCCAAAUAAUAAGCAUGAAUAUUUCAAUUAAAAAAUUAAAUCCAUCAUUUUUUGACAUUAUUGGCAUUAAUUGAUUUGAAGCUAAAAUAACUAUGUGGAUACAAAAUAAUAAUGCUUCAUACUAUAAAUUGAACAAAAAAAUAGCAUCAUAUUUAAUUUCUUCAACAAAUAAGCAAAAAUAAAAAUAAGUAACUCAAAUUACGCAAGAUAUAAAUUGUGUAGAACUAGAGAGAUAAUUGAUGAUCUUAGCUCAAGAGAGAAGAAGUGAAAGAUUCAUAGAAAGAUAGGAAGUUUUGGUAGGAAUUUGAGAGAAAAUGAGACAGCAUCUUAAAACUACCACUCCCACAUACCAGAACAAUUCCGAUUGGAUCAAAUGUUUGAAUUUUUUUUUAAAAUUUGAAUCCAUUUUACUUGCAAUAAUAGUUGUCAAAUCGAGAAUCAAAAUCUUUAUUUUGUAAAUUGGGAAUCAAAUCUAAUUGAAUCGUAGAAUUGGAUAAAAUUUUUUAAAAAUUAAUUAAAAAUAGUAUAUGUCUAAAAAGUAAGCGUAAAACUAUCAUAAUGACAUAUUUUAAUAAAUAUAGAAUUAUUAUUUAUCGAGUUAAAAAUAUGUUCUGUAAUAGAAUAAUAUAUUAUUAUGAUUAUGUUAUAUAGUUUUAUAUUAUAAAUUAGGAACUCUCAUUGAAUUGGAUACAAUGAUUAUCAUUAUGUAUGUGCUAAAACUCUUAUUUAAAUAUUAUCAAAUAAUUAAAUAAUAAAAAUAAGCUAGCAGCUUACAUUAAAAUAUUAAAAUAAAUUAAUCUAACAUGUCAUAGCUUGACAGCUAUAAUUGGAGAAGUAAAUGAACUAAAAGAAAAAAAAAUUGAGAGGGAAAAGAAUAGGUGAUGGAAGAACAACUAUAAUUGGAGAAGUAAAUGAACUAAAAGAAAAAAAAAUUGAGAGGGAAAAGAAUAGGUGAUGGAAGAAAAAUAGCUAAGGAAAGGUUUUAUGUGCACUUUUCAUAGCAAAAAUGAAAUCUUAAACUAACAACCCAGUUGAAAAUAAUCCCUUAAAUUGAGCAAAGACUCGCUCGAUUCAUAUUGAUUCAUCUGUUUUAUUAUCAAUUAUUUGACCUGGUCGCAAUUCAAUUACAUUUUCUAUUUGCUUCAUGGAUUCUGGAUUACUAGGAUGCGGAUUCGAAUAGAGAAUCAUAAGAUUCAAGUACAUUUAAGAUUCAUCCCAUAGAUUUGAAUCAAUAAGAUGGGAAAUAGAUUCAAAUCAAGGAUAGUCGUAAAAUUCUGGCAACAAUGCUUGCAAUAGUUACAUCAGCUUGCUUUUGGCUGCAGUUUGCCAUUGAGACGUGGAGCAUAAUGGAGGAAAAACAGAUUCCGCCCAAUAACACAUCCUGCCUGUUCAUGACUCGAGCCCUUUGUAAAGGGGGUUAUUUGAAUGAGGUAUAUGCAUGUGAAUUUAUUCUGUGAGAGUGUUUUGGAUGUGAUUAUUGUCUUUAUGCAUUGGAAAGAUUGUCACUAUUCUUGCCCCGCAUCUUGUUACUAGUUUACAAAAUUUUCAUUAAUAAUUAUGAAUGUUGGAGAUGUAAUCUUCUCACCAUUCUCGAUUGUUGGCUGAUUGUUGUUUCUGGGAUGACUGGGGUUUUCUGAUAAUCAGAGUGAAGUUUUUUUUUUUAAUUAUUUUUUUUAUGAGGGAUUGAUAUGAAUGAUGUUUGUAAUGAAAAAUGCAGUUAAGGUGUAGUAGAAGUACUGUUGAAAAUGUGUGGAAACUUGUCACUCCCUUUUCUUUAGGAUGAGAAGAUAAAGAGAUUGAUUAUGAUUAUUAAGUGUUCUUUUCUGUUUCUCUUGUGCUUUGUUCAGGCAUUUAAUCUGAUUAAUUUUAUUGGAGAGAAACAUGGCAUGACUCCUAGUCUUGCUGUGUAUAACAGUUUCUUGGGAGCAUGCUCAAAAUUGUGCAGUAUGGUUCAUGCUAAUCAGUGUUUGGAUUUGAUGGAGCGCAAAAUGAUGCGGAAGAAUGAAGUUACAUAUACAGAGCUUCUGAAGGUGUGUAAAUAGUACUGGGCUCGCAUAAAAGCUAGUUUCAGCUCAUAUUUCCCCUUACUACCCAACACCUUUUACUACACCCCAAAAAGGGUGCAUAAAUAAGAAAGCUAAUAGAAUGAAGAUAAUUUGCCUUCUAACUAGUUUUUAUUCGUUCUGUUGUUUCAGCUGAAAUGUUUGUGAAGUAUUCAGAGUAUUGCAAACGAAUUUCAUCAGAUUGUAUUCUAAUUUUUCUGUUUCUCUUGCAGCUUGCUGUCUAUAACCAAAACCUGUCUGCUGUCCAUGAAAUUUGGAAGGAUUAUAUCAAAUACUAUGGUCCAAGUAUUUUUUCUUUGCAAAGGUUUAUUUGUUCAUUUACAAGGUUAAGAGAUUUAAGUUCUGCAUACCAAGCAUUGCAAUAUAUGGUAGUUUUGGCCCUUCGAGGAAACACUUCUAUUAUGAGCAAUGCUGAAGGAAAGUUAUAUUCUUCACGAGUCUUGGACAUUCCGAUACCAAAUCUUGAAUCAAGCUUGCAGAGAUUUGACAUGGAGGAGUUUGAUGAACAGUUUGUUCCCUUAAAAGUGGAUGCUUAUAUUAGGAGCAUAGAAUGGAGUACUGUUUCUACAACCGGAAAAGAAGUCGAAAGUUCUGGAGUAGUUGGAUUGGGUAAAACUAAAUGCGUGCCUGCCAUGCAGCUUCUGAAGCCAUCUUUUGGCAAUGUAAUGCGUGCAUGUGCACAAAACCAAAAUUAUAGAUUAGCAGAGCAGUUAAUGAUUCAGGUCAGAUAUUGUUUUAGCCUUACAGAUUUCCUGGGAUAGUCAUUUGAUGUGAUGAUACCUUUCCCUCUACUUGUGUACACCUCUUGUGCAUAGGCAUGUCCACUGUAAGGUCAAAACCGGAACCUUGUUCGAACCAGACUGAGAUCGUGGGCCCCUAAUUUGGUUCAGUUCCAGGAUUUUUCAAACUCUGAACUGCCUUUUCAAUUAAAAAAAAAAGUUCAAGCCCUUCUUUUCAGAAUUAAUUUACUCUUUUCACUUGUUUGAUUUAUUUUAUUAAAUUAAUUGUGUUUAAGUUAAUUUUCUUAAUUUAAUGUAAUAUAAUAUAAUAUGAUAUAAUUUUUUAAAGGACAAAUUAUUUAACUUUUUGCUUUAUUUUAAUAGCCAGAUUUCAUAUGUUACUUGUGUAAUGUAUUGUUUAAUUUAUUGCUUGUGUUUUGUGCGUUUACUCUUUUUUCCAAACUGCCUUCAAGCCAUCUUGAACCAUCUGGUUUUGAACCACCUAUUGAACCAUUUCGAGCGGGUGGUUUGUGCAAACUGUCCCCUGGUCCAGUGCAAGAACUGGAAGCGCUGGUUCCUGAAACGUGAACAUGCUUGCUUGUGCUUGUUUUUGUUGUAAAUUUAUAGAAAACAGAAUUAAAAAAAAAAAAAAAACACUUUUUUCUACUAGAAUUGUAAGACUUGGUCGUGCUGGAAUUUUCACUUCUGACCAUCAUCACAAUUGAAGCAACCUAAAUACAACAAUAUUUUAUGCUCUUCUAUGGUCAGCUAGUUUUCCAUGUUCUAUUGAGAAUUUGUCUUUUUACACUCUACAGAAACACUUGUUAGCAGGUCUUGGUACUUCUUCUAUGUUGUUUAUUCACCUCUUGAAUAGUUAAGAUAGUAAUUUUUAAGUUAUGUUAUUAUUAAUAUGAAUUAUAAUUAUCAUUUUUGUUAUAUUCUUUUUUUUUCUUUUUAUUUAAAUUUUCCUUAGCCAAAUUUCUAUGCCUCAUUCAUUUAAAUUUGUUUUUUCCAUUACUGUGUAGAUGCAAAAUCUUGGGGUGCAACCUUCUAGCCGUACGUAUGAUGGCUUCAUUAGAGCUGUUAUUUCUGGGAGAGGUAUAAGUGAAGGCAUAAAAGUGGUAAAUCUUUUUUUUCAUUGGGUUCUUAUGUCAUUAUUUUUAAUAAUGAUUUCCCCAUUCCACCAAUAACUUUUGCAUUCAUGUUUUACAUGGAUGAAAUAACCUUCUCCACCCAAUGUUUUCACAGUUAGAAAUAAUGCAAGAGAAGAAUUUGAAGCCACACAACUCAACUCUUGCGACCCUUUCAAUUGCUUGCUGUCAAGCCUUAGAACUUGAUUUGGCAGAGAAACUACUCUACCAAAUUUCAUAUUAUCAAGAUCCACAUCCUUAUAAUAGAUUUCUUGAAGCAUGUGAUACUCUGGUGAGUUAAUUUCUUUAAAUCUGGUACUUCAACUAGAUUGGCAUUCCUUGUUACUUGUUAGCCUCUGUUUUUCUCAAGUAAGAAAUUCUACAAGAAAAUAUGACAAGGCAAUUUACACACAUGUUAUAGAGGAGUACUUGUAAUCCACCUAAGUCAAUAGAAAAUGUGAACAUUGAAUUGAAGGGUUGUUGAAUGCUGACUGUAUGGCUACACAAUCUUGCUCUUGAUCUUCAUAUCUCUUUAUCAAUUGUUUGCAUUAUUAAAUUGUUGUGCCAUAUGGAUUUAUAUUAUAAAAUUUAUUGGUCCAUGUAACUUGUAAUUUUCUUCAGGAAUAUUAUUUUCAAAUGAAGUACUUGAAUUGUGUGUUUUCAUAGUCAGCAUAAAAUUUUUGUUCAUUAAUCGUGCAGGAGAAACCAGAGCGUGCCAUUCGGAUGUGGGCUAAAAUGAAGCAACUAAAAAUCAAACCAGAUAUCUGGACAUAUGAGCUGUUAUUUUCAUUAUUUGGUAAUGUGAAUGCUCCAUAUGAAGAUGGUGAUAUGUUGUCACAUGCAGACUCUGCUAAAAGGAUUAAAGCUAUUGAGAUGGAUAUGGCAAAAUAUAGUGUACAACACAGCCAUUUAUCGAUGAAGAACUUGGUAACUCAUAAGUCAUGUAUUUCUUGAUUUGUUCUUAGUAGGUACUGACCUUAAGUAGCUAACUUAUUUAAGUAUCAGCUUUACUGUCAGAUCUGUUUGGCGUGAAGAUUAAUGUUAUGCACUAUAAAAUUAAAAAACUGAUCUUUUUAAAAAAAAAAAUUGUUGAUGAUUAAGUGGAUCCUGCUACAUCUCAUUUGGGAAGCUCUUGGAUGCUGCUUUUGGAGGGACGUGCCACAAUUUAACUAACAACAAAAAGUUAUUACUGAUGGAAUAACAUGUAAAUCAAGCAUGACAUAGUUUAGCAACAGUAUUAGAUGCCUUUAGACUACUGAUGCUUCUAUAGACUAUAGAUAUCUCUAACCUAAUUAAUUGACACAAAAUCUAGUGGAAUAGAAAAUGCAAUUUGUUGGGAAUGCCUGUCGUGACUGGAUGUGGAGGUUAUCCAUAAGCACAGGAGAAAAAGCUAAUUGGGAAGCUUGUUUUCUGUCAUCCUGUCUGGGAUUUUCUUUGUAGAUUAUUUAUAAUUGCAUUGUUUACUUUAACAUUCACCAGACUAUUUGAAAAAUUAAGGUGAUAUUUUGGCUAGUUAUGGAUUAGAACUAUUUUUGAAAUUGAUGCAAAAUUGGUUUCAAACAGAAUUGAAUGAUGAAGAAGGAUCCAUAUGGUCAGCCUCAAAUAGUUCAGGACUAAAAGUUAGUUGUUAUGAAUUAAAACUAUUUGGCCCUUGCAUUGUAAUUUUGUGGACCUUGUACUUUAUUCCAAAGUUCUUGUCUAUACACGCUAUUUUCACUUGCCUUAUGCUCACUUCCCCUAAAUAUAUAUAUAUAUAUAUAUGUUGAAUACAUACUUAUAGGCCUGUACCAAUUUGAGAUCCAAUGAAUACUUGAACAAAAAUAGAACCUAUUGAAUAUCUGAACUUAUAAAAACUAUGAUAAUUAAAUAUAAAUUAGCCACCUCAUUGAUAACUUGUAAAAAAAUUCAGAAAUGGUCUUAUUUAUUGCUGAAUGUACUUUAAUUUUCGCUGAUUAUGCUCUAUUUUUUCAUAAAAUUUACUCAUUUUAUUGAAAAUAAAUUUUAUGAAAAUUUAGAGUAUAGUCAAUAAAAUUUAAUGCACAGUAAGCAAUUAAUUGAAUCGUUUCUGACUUUUUUGACAAGUUAUAGAUGUCAUGGCUAAUUUGUAUUUGAUUGUUAUGAUUUUUACAAGUUCAAGUAUUCAAUAGGUUUUGAUUUUAGUUUAGGCAUUCAAUAUAUUAAUUUCAAAUAUUACAAAAAUGUAAACAUGUAUUUGGCCCUUUUUUUCCAUUGUUGUGGACCUGAUGCAGUUAAGGAAGACUAAAUUUAAGAUUUUUUUUAAUUGUUAAUUGUAAAAUUAUGAUUUUUCAUUCAGAUUUUAUAUUACAAGUAGGAAGCUUAGGUUUCUGUUUGGAUUUAUAUUCCUAAUUAGAUUGAUUUAGUAUUUUUUAUUUUGGCUUUCCUAGUCAUAGCAGCAGGAUUAGUUAUUAGUCUAUAAAUACCUAUGUAAUUUUGGUAUUUUUUUUAUGGAGAGCUCGUUAUGAUUAUUUUUGACAAUUAAGAGUUAAUGAGUAUUUUAAGAAUAUUGUUCCUUUCCCGUUUGAUUGUUGUCUUGGUUCAAGACCUCAAUAUGGUGUUGGUAUUUACCUCUUUUGGUUCUCUUUAGCUGAAAGCUCUUGGAGCAGAAGGGAUGAUAAGAGAGCUUAUGGAGUAUCUACGCAUGGCAGAAAACCUUUUCUACCGCAGCAAUACUUAUUUGGGAACACCUAUCUAUAAUACCGUGUUACAUUCACUUGUUGAGGCUGAGGAAGUGAGUGAUUUUCCUCGUAUCUUAUUUAUAGUUGUCACUAUUUCAUUAGCUGUGGGUACUAACUAUCUGUGGUUGACAUGCAGAGUUACUUGGCGAUUGAAAUAUUCAAAAAUAUGAAAUCGAGUGGUUUCUGCCUAAAUGCUGCAACUUAUACUAUAAUGAUUGAUUGUUGUAGCAUUAUCAAAUGUUACAAAUCUGCAUCUGCUCUAUUCUGCAUGAUGUUGCGUGAUGGGUUUUAUCCGCAGGCAGCAACUUAUACUGCUCUCAUAAAGGUAUUUGUCUAUUUGAAUUCAUCCAGAGGGUCUUGUGCUAUCUGAAUUUAUGACUUACUAAAGAAAAAAAGGAACAAACUUGAGAAUUUUGCUGGGGGAUGUGCAUUUUCUCAGAGGUGAGAAAAUGGAAGUUUAUACCUGUUAGUUACUGGUGUAUGUGCCAUAUAUUAGCUUCUGGUUAGUUGCAGCAAUUCACUGCAAGCUCCUGCAAAUCACAUACUCGGCUUUGGAUUGCGAAAUUUUCUCACUUCUAGGUUUCUUUUCUUUCAGAAUGUGUUGGAUGAUGGAAAUUUUGGUGAAGCCUUCAAUCUUUUGGGUCUAGGGAGCUCAGAAGGGAUUCAGACUGAUGUAUUGUUGUAUAAUACUAUUCUCAAAAGAGCUUGUGACGAGGUACCUCAUCUCCUAAUUCCCUGCAAGCGCGCUCUUGCACACAUCAAAAGCAAAAGUUUUUCUGGAAUUUCUAUGAAUUCAAAAAACUGGAUUUCAAUGUUGUAAAAUCUUAAUCAGAGUGUUGCCUUGUGUGAAAUGGAAUCUAGGGGAGGAUCGAUGUCACUGAGCUUAUUGUCGAGCAGAUGCACCGUGAGAAAAUAAGACCCGACGCAUCGACUUGCCAAUAUGUGUUCUCUACAUAUGUGGGACGUCACUUUUAUAACACAGCCAUGGAAGCAUUGCAAGUUUUGAGCAUGCGGAUGAUUUGUGGAGAGGACCAUGCUUUUGAAGAAAAGAAAGCUGAAUUCGAGGAAGCUUACAUUCUUUCUGAAGAUGAGGAAUCUGAGCUUCGAAUACUUGAAUUUUUAGGAGGGCCUGAUGAGAAUAUAGCUUUUGCUCUCUUGAAUUUAAGAUGGUGUGCCAUUUUGGGGUUCCCAAUUUCUUGGUCACCAAAUGGAACUUCAUGGGCAAGAAGACUUGCCGCUAACUAUGAUUCCCUAAUUUGAUAUUAUUAGCCGCUGAAUAUUUAUUCAGAUCAACUUGGCGCAUUAGCAAUUCCCGGAAUUAUGUUCUUGGUGAGGGUUGCAAUUUUGUCCGAUGAGCAGUGAUACUGCUUAGCUGCUUCAUUGUCAAAUAAUUUUGGAAUCUGUGCAUCGCAAUGUUUACAAUUUUGUUUAUGGUAAAAAAAAAAGAUUUGAUUUUUCAAGGAAGUAUCUUGAUGAGGGGUGGUAAUUUAUAUUUAGUAUAAUUUUAACAAUUAUUUUCCUUCCUUAUUUUCCCCUUAUCCAAACAACCCAUUAGUCUAAAAGAUUUUUCAGAUGUUAUUAUGUGUAAUGAGAAUGUAUUUUACUUGUAAUUAAUUUUAUGAAACUCAAUUAUAAAAGUUCACAGACCGAACAAAUAAUCAUUAUAAAUAAAAUUCUGUAAAAUUUUUCGUACGCUAAAGUUUCUAUUUUAAUUGUUACAACACCAAACCUUAAUGUAAUCAAUACUUCCAAAGGUGGAUUAAUCGUGCGUUCGAUAAUUUCAUAAUUAAAAUUUCAGUUUUAUCAAUUUUUUAAAUCAAAUUUUCAGCUGUGUCAAUUUUAUCGGUACAAGCAUGCUAGCAGUUUUUUUUAUUAAAAGAAAAUUACAGAGAAUACUAAAUGAAAAUGUAAAAAUGAUUAAAAAAAAAGGACUUUGUGCCAAAGAUAAAUCUCAUCACCCAAUUUGCAAUUAUCUAUAACAAUUAAUUCAAAGUCCAUGAGAAAAAAAAAAAGAGUAAUUAGUAUUUCUCUAGCUUCCUGCUAGGAAUCAUAUCACCAUCAACAAAAGGGAGAGAUUUGGUAUCACGAUGAGUAAAAAGGCUAAUGAUAUCACAAUAAUGCGUUGAUGAGUUUUCGAAGCAGCAGAAAAGAAUAUGAUCUAAAUUAGUUAAGUAUUAAAAAUUUAAUGAACGGUUUUGAAAAGUUUCUAUUAAAAAUAUAAUUGACUGAUUUGGAUAUCAACUGCAACUGCAGUAUUCUGUACGGAUAUCAUUAUAAAAACUCUACCUUCCUUAUUUUUUCAACCUAUUAACUCUAUUCUGGAUUGUGAAUCUUAUCGUCCUACACUCACCAUGGGUUUAGAACUUACCAGCUUAUCGAUUUACUAGUUAUCACUAGCCUAACAAAAACUCAACUCCGUACAUGAAGCUCAGUAAUCUGUUAGCAGAAUACUUGCAAACGCAUGAAACUGUCCAAGUUAAGUGAAGGGAUCUGAUGCUAAGCUUAUCGGCUCAAUUGAUUUCGUACCCCAUUUUUUUAAUGUUUCAAAUGUCAGAAAAUAUAAAAAUUUUGGGAAAUAAACAGAACCUAAUAAAUUAAAAUUUAACUCAUUUAAUGAUAUAAUGUUAUUUCGAAUGUUGUAUUAAAAGAAGACAGUGCAAUAAAUAUACAUUCAUUUAGGAUCUAGCCUAAAUUUUAACCCAAAACGAAAUAAUAGUUAUAUAACCCCUUUAAUCUCAAACCAAUAUGUACCCUAAACUUGAAAAUUUUUAUUUUCAUGAAUUAAAUUAAGAGAUUAAAGGAGGAACUAUACUCAUAAUCACCCGUGUAUAAGUAGCUAAAAACGAUUGUUACCAUCUCAAAAGCUACAAACAAUCAACCCAAGAGAUCAAGGUUGGCAAUGAAAGAUGUGCAGCAAGAGAAAAGACAGAACAUCCAGCUUAAAACAGAGAGAGGGAGAGAGAGAGAGAGAGAAAUUUCCAUCACAGUGGAGACCUGUAGAUUAUUAAGUCUUAGAUAUCAGCAAUACCAGAAUCCCUCGAAGGUGAAGCACAAAAGAAAAGAAAAAAAGAAAAGGAAGAGAUCUUAAGUUACAAAAAGAAUGUAUGUCAAUAAAAAAGCACGACUCAUUAGAAUGCCCCACUACAAACACAUUCACCUGAUCUAAACAAGUUUGCUAAUUCCAUAAAGCUAAGAAAUUCACCAUGCUCGUCUCAUUACUUUCCUUUUCCUUUUAUCCCUCAUCCUUUGAUUGUUGAUAGAAAGGAAAUAUUAGAGGAAAACAAAUUUAUGAUUUCUUCAUGAGAUACCCCAAAAUUAUACCAAGCAAGCCCACAAAGGCGACAAAAAUAAAUGAGACACCGGCACGGCUUUUGCUGCCUUCAUGUUUCAGGAGUUCCUGCGAUCAUUAAUCUCAUAAAGUAAGCAAUCCAUUAAUCAAAUACCAUAACACAAGGCAGGCUUAUCAAAUAUGGGGAACAUGCAUAAGCAAAGCUACAAAGAAUGCAGAAUUGUUUAAAAGAUGGACCAUAAGCACCAUGGAAGAAAAGUAAUCCAACAACUACACUAGAGGUUUUUUCCUAUGUCAAUGUAGAACAUAAAAACAACAGUGAGCACAGAUUGUCAUUAUCAGUGUGCUGAUAUAUACUCAAACACAUGAUAUUUCUCUCUCUACAAAAACAUAAAUAAAUAAGAAUCCACAUAAAUGAAGUCAUGGACUAAUGGCUCACCAAUUCUUGACGAAGCUUGGUAUUUUGUUGAAUAGCACUAUUUUUUUCUUCAGUCAGCUUUGAAAUAAGGGCUUUUGUCUGCAAUAAUAAUGCCAAGGUUUAUCAAUAGUAAUUAAAUCACAUAUAUAACCACAACAAAUAAUUCAUAAAAGAAAAUUAAAAAAAUUGAAAAUGAGAAACCAAUUAUAACACAACACAAGUCAAAUUACAAUAACAGUGAGAAAUAAAGAGAUGGGAGUAGAGAGAAAGAGUUUAAAAAAUUAAUAAAAAGAGAGGCCUACAUAUAAGUUCAUGAUUGUGCAAAAAUCGAGCUUUAGAAUACAGAGUUGCCGAUUUCAAUUUUGACUUCCUAUAGAUUUAUUAGAGGUUUCUAAUUCAUUGAAUGGAAAAAAUGAAAUUAGUAAAGUAGCAAUGCAUCAGUGAAAAAGGAAAUAGAUGUCUAGAUUCCUAUAAACAAGCCAUCAGAAUAUGCCAAUAAAGGGUGAAGAUAGGGCUGGAGAUGUGCAACAAUAAAUUUAGUAUAUUUUAUCCCUUUUGGGAUUCUACAAAGAGGAAAUAAUUAUGAUAUAUAUGUGCGCGUGCGCGAAAGAGAGAGAGAGAGUGUAUAUAAUGUCUGAAGAGCACUAAGUUUAAAUUUACAGCAAGAAAAUGCAUUAGCAUAUAUGGACAACAAUAUCAUAAUAGAGCAUCACAUUUACGGCUAUGGUAUAUCAUAUAUGCACUGUGUUAAUUCAAUUGUUCCUGUCAAGGACCCAUUAUUAACCUUAACACUUUGCCCAACCCCCAUUUUGUACCAAAGUUAGUAGUCAAUUCUCAUAAGGUCCCCCAUUUUGGAAGGCAUCAAGAAUUCAUGUUCAACAGUUUCAGCGAUUAUUUCACAUCUCCAUAACACAAAAUACCAUGAGUGUGACAAUAUCCAGAUGUACUGCCUUCACCUUCCUUCUUAUUUUGUUUAUUUUACUUUUAAACCACAGAAUCACAUGACCAAGUGGGAUCAACCCAUGAGUUUAAGAUCCAUCUGAUCCUCAAGGACACCAGAAAUGGAUCUGAUUCUAAGCCAUUGGCAUACUUUUCUCGUCCAUACAUCACCUUUGUGGCAAUUACCAGAUGCCACUGCCAAACCCCAAUAGUAGGGAUAGACAAGGUUCAAGAACCGUCAGUUCCAAUUCUGAACCAAACCACCAUGGGACAGUACGGAGGACGGUUCCUGAACCGCUGAUUCCAGUUCAAGCCCUGGUUUGGAAAAGUUCAGAGGCUAGGAAUAAGGCAGUUCAAGAUUGCUCAUAGGGCAGUUUGGACUUAGGAAAAAAAUUGAUAUGGAAUUCAGUUACCUUUGUAAAAAUAUAUUAUUUUUUCUUGUAAUAUUUUAAAUAAAAUAAAAUAAGAAAGCAAGAAUUAAUGUCUUCUUAAGAAAAUUUAAUAAGAAAGGGUUUGGACUUAGCUAAAAAAGCAUAUAGAAAUAAAAGAGAAGAAAUCAGUGUUCUUAAAAAAAAGAGAAAAAAAAAGAGGUUACUGGAAUUUUGGUGAGGGUAUAAAAUAAUAAGAGUAGUUGAGAGAAAAAAGAAAAUUUUAAUGAGUGCAUAAAAUAGUAAAGUAGGGAAAUUGAAAGAAUAUUGGGAACUAAAUAGAGUGUAGAGAAUUUCAGAUUUUUUAAAAAAGAACUAAGAUUCAGGUGGGGUAUCUAUAGAGUUUUUGUAUAUUUUUCAUUCCUAGUUUAUCCCUAAAAACUAGCUGCUUCAGUCUAGUUCAGCACUGCCAAUUCAAUCUGGUUUGGAACCACUGGUUCACAUUCCUACAAAAUACAAACCCGAACCAAACAUCAAGAGGACAAUUCCCAUCUGGUUGGAAACCGAUUAUGGUUUGGACCAGUUCCAAGACCAUGACCACCCCUAACCAUUAGAGUGUCAAAAUCAUCUUCUGGAACUUUCUGCCUUCCAGUCUAAGUUUUCAUAACCUAUGACUGAGGCUCUUAACACCUAAGACAUUCAAGUAACUAUCACUUUACACCAUGUGUCCAAUUAUUCCCUACAUCCUCAAACAAGCAAACCCACAUGUCCAUUUCCUUUAUGUCACAACUCACAACUUACUUUGAAUAAUGGCAAUUAGCCUCAAGUUCAUGUCUAGUCCUCUGUCAAUCAAGCCACAUCCAACAGAUGCAAUUGCUUAUUUAGAUCAGUAAACCCAUGUCUCGUACAUUUAACAAUAACUCAAGACAGAAGUUUACCAUCACCAAAAAUUAGUAGCCUAGAGGUCAAACAAGCUACUUUAAGCCUGAAAAUAGCACUAUUAGAAUCUGGAUAGGUAGAAUAUGCAAUCAAGCUCAACAUGUGCUCGCUCCUCACCAAAAAUUGUUUUUUUUAACACAGUUCAACAAGUCUUAUAGUAGUUGGUGGAAACCUCAGCUAAAUGGCAAGGAGAAAAUUUGCUACAGAACACAACAAAUUAUCAGAGAGAAGGGUGCCUGCUAGUGUUACAGUUACUGUGGAUUGUGGUAUGUCCGGUCUUUCUCAACAUUUUUGAGGCAGAGGGUGAUAGAUGCUGACAAACCAAAUACCAGAUUCAGAACUUGUUUAAUGACUUCCAUAAAAAAUCUACUGCUUUCUUCAUACAAAGACAGCUUAUUUUCUUUUCUCAUAGGCCACUUUCUUUUUCAAAAAUGUAGUUUAUUUAUCAACUUCCUAAUGUACCCGUGUUUAACAAGUAUUGAAAAAGUAAAAUUUAUUGGUUCCAAGAAUAAUUUAGUAAUGGUGCAAUACAAGUGGAGGGCAUAAGGAAACAUGAUGUAAAAUUUACUGCUUCAACUAUAUUAAUUAUAUUUCUUAAUCCUAUGUGAAAAAACAAAUAGGUCUCUUGGAAAAGUAAAAUUUAUUGGUUCCAAGAAUAAUUUAGUAAUGGUGCAAUACAAGCGGAGGGCAUAAGGGAACACAACAGAAAAUUUAUUGCUUUAAUCAUAUUAACUAUAUUUUCUUCAUCCGUGUGCAAAAAACAAAUAGGAUUCUCUUUAUGGAAUGGAGAGAGUAUCUAAAAAGAAAUUGUUUAGGAGAAAACACACCAGGAUCUCAUUUUUAAUCUUAGAGAAGACUCCGAAAAAUGAACAAAGAUGGUCAAAAACUCAAACCUCAUUUAGAGAAACUCACAUUAGUGUUUUCAUUUAACAAUAUCCAAAGUUUUUUCACUGGCCAGUCAAGGAAACUGACAAACAUGAUACACCAAUAAUUUCUGGAAACUAAAGUAAACUACUAUCGUAUACCCUUGUGUAAGAAUUAGCUUCAGAAUUUAAAAUAACGAGCAAUGCAUUUCAUGCCAUGAGUUCAACAAAAUGAUCUUGUACAUGUAUACUGUCCAGUCCAUCACUUAAACUUUGCCCAGUGCUUCGUCUGGUCCAUGGAACUAUGCAUGGCUAUUUCUUAUUAUUGACAAAGAAAGAAAAAAGAAUAACUGAAGCAGAUAUCCGCGCAGUAUAAUGUAUCAGAAUUGCUAUCCACCACAGCAUGCAACAUUGACCAUGCAAAUAAAUGUGAAUUUUACCUCUGACGAUUUUUCUUGAGGUUCAAACCGCUCAACAAAUGCUUUUGAAGCCUGCAUGCACCAAAAAAAGGCAUAUAAAAGAUAAAACAACUUGAGGCUUGAAAGGAUAACUACGGUAAAAAUACUAUUAACAACAAGGGUCACACCAAGUACUCACACUAGAAAACUCAGCACCGUUUGUGUUUCCAUUAUCUGACACAGAACCUCUUGGUGAAGACCCUUCCUCAGAACCUUCUGGAACAGGAGAAGGGGGUUGAGGUGGAGAAACAUAAAGCACUCUCAAUUUGCACUCUUCAACCACAUGCCCCGCCUCCUUAUUGAACUAGACAAGACAAAUACCAAUAAAUACUAAGCUCCAAAUCCAGUACCUUCAAAGUUGACAUGCAAAAUAAAAUUGAAUGAAAUUACCAUUUCAGCAUUGAUAUCCUUUACGGUUGCGCCAUCAUGUGUUCUCACACUCUGAAGCAAAAACUUGUCUUUGCAUUGCAUAUCAGCAGGAAGCUCCUUUUGCGCUUGCAUUGUAACUGAUAGAAUCCCCAAGUUUAAAAAUUCAUAACUACCAUUUACAUCAUAAGUCAUAAAUACAAAGUAAAAACACAAAAUCCACCAGACGGGCACCUAUAACAUCACAUGUGGAACGAGGCAACACAAUCCCAGCAUUUGGUCGAACACAAUACUUCUUUGGAUUUGUCGUUUUGACCUAAACAUCAAACAAUAAUCAGCGACUUAAAUGCACCGAACAAGCAAACAAAAUCCAAAUCUGCAUUCUCAUUUUAACAGAAACAGACUACAAAUUUCCCAUAUGAAUUUCCCUUUUUUUUAUGUAGCGUUCAUGAGUUAUGCUCAUGACAAGAGAUUUGUAUUUAGUAUUUGUUAUUUAUCUCAGUUCCUCUAUAAAAAUGGAAAAUUUGACAUUGAAAAUACUUAAUCCCCUCUUCCCAAGAAUGAAAAGGAAAGUUACCUCAGCCCAAGAAGAUAAAUACUUUAGAUCCAAAGAAAGAAAACGAAAACAAAACAAUUACAGAAAGGAAAUACCUUGAAAGCAACAUAACUAUCAGUUUUGUUGGACAAUUGAAGAGAACAAGAGAUCUGCUUCUUCAAUUCAACUAAUCAGAAAAAAGAAAAGAGUUAGAAUAAAAGAAAUCAUGAAAAAGAAAACAGAUCCAUUGACCUUACAUGGAAAUUUGAGCUCUAGAGGCUCGAUGCUGAGAAUAUCUCCCGUGCUCAUCUCAAAAAAUAUGGGAAAAUUCAAAAACAAAAAGGAAAAAAACAAAAUAAAAGCAGUUCUUUGAAAGGAGAUUUGGAGAAGAUCCGGAAAAAUAUGUAUUAUGAGAGUGUGUGGAAUCUGUUGUUGAAAAGUGUAUUCACAGAAGACGAUAGCUGGACGGAUCAAGGGAGAGAGUUUCGAAUAUAUAUAUAUAUAUAUACACAUAAACUUGAAAAAUAAUUAUUAUACAUGUAAAUAAAAUACUUUUUAUAAUUUUUUUUAAAAAACAUAUUUAAUAUAUUUUUUAUGAUUACAGUCUAAUUUUUAAUAUUAAUGAAAAAGAAUAAUUUUUUUUUAAUUUUGUUAUAAUUAGUAAAAAAUUCUUACAUGUUCACUAUCAAUUAUUAAAAAAUUUAAAUUUUAUAUUAAUAUAUAAGUCUCAUCAUAUUUUUAAAAAAAAUUAAUUAGUUAAAUAUUUUAAUUAUUUUAAUUAAAAACUUCAUAAAUCCUGUAUAAUUCAUAAUUUGACACUUGUUAAAUCUCUGGACAAAUUGCUUGUCUCUGUAUUCAUGACUCAUGAUAUUGUAGUUGAAUACAAUUAUACUAAAAUUGAGAGAACAUGUUUUAUCGUUUAAAACUUAAAAAAUUAAGAUAAAACCAUAAAGAAAAUUAUGCUUUUAAAGGAGCAAAUAAAUAAAUAAAAACUCGUAUAAAUUGCUAAAAGGCCUAAAAACAAACAAAUCAACGAGAAAANNNNNNNNNNNNNNNNNNNNNNNNAAAGCAAGCUCACUCAAAAGAUAAAUCCAACUAAAAUUAAAUAUUGAAAACCAAAAUCAACACACAUCAACCCAAAUCAACAAUCAAUACGCACUCCGACAGAAAAAUCACUGCUUGCAAUAUCGAUCCACCGUCAAUCCACAGCAAAUCACGUCGAAAACAGACCACCGACAGCAUCACAGAAGGCCAAAAGGCACACGGAAAAAUAAGAAAACAAACAUGCAAACACAAAUAUCGACAGCCAUCACUGGAGAAAUCUUCCACCGAUAGAACUAUGAGAAACAGUAACCAACGACAGAAGCCACCUACCAAUAGCCAACAAAAAGGCAACGGGAAAAAUCAUGCAACCCAAAAAAACACUUGGCGAGAAAGAAGCAAACACACAGGCCAACCGCUAGGAAGAAGAGGCAGCACAGCUCACACGGGACCGUUGGUCACUGGACGUGGCAGUGCAAUCCCGAGAUGCCGAUGUCGCCUAAUAAAAAAAACUGAGCAACCAACACGAAAGCUUAAAUCCAAAACUACAAAGGUGAUACCUUACUGAUGACUGCUUCAACUUCUCCGAAUCGACAUCUCUCUCUUAAUGUUUCCUGACUCACUGUAAUGCCAAAAAGAAAUUUAUUUUUUAAAUAUUUUACUUUUUAUUUUUUAAAACUAAAUAUAAUCAUUAUUUAUGAGUUUAAUAUAAAAUACUAUAAUUACUAGCCUAAUAAUUUCUAAUUUACGGAUCAUACUCACUUUAAAUAAUUAUAUGUUUUGAGAAAGCGAUAUAAAAAAUAAUUUUUUUCUUUUUUUUUAAAUAAAAAUUUUAGAGACCGAUUAAAUAAUUAGUAAAAUAUAUUUGUCUCUAGUAAUGAGAUUCUUUUAAAAUUAGUGGUAUAGACUUUUUCUCGACACUUGCUUGGUCAGUCUUAUUUUCGACUCACGUGCUGUUUUUUAAUAGAAUUUUCAAAAUUAAAUAUUUAUUAAGAGAAAUUAUUUACGAACAGAAAAAGAUAUUAAUCUUAGUUUUGAAGAAUUAUGAUGGCUCGGUUUAAUAUGAAUUUGAUUUGAUUAAAUUUUUUUUUAAAUAUGGUUUGAUUAAUAAAAGAAUGUUUAAUUAAAAAGAACUAUAAAAAAUUUUUAUUAAGGCUUGAGUAGCUUAAAAAACUAAGUAUAAUAAAAAAUAAUGAUUUUUGCAUCUCAAAAAUCAUUUACAUUUUUUUUAUUGCAUUGGUUUAAAUUAUAUUUUUUAAAAAAAAAAUAAUUUAUUUAUUAAUUCAUUAAUAUUUUCUAUUUUUAUAUAUAUUAAAAUUAAAUUUAUUAGUUGUAUGAAUUAUUUAAUUUUUAAUUUAUUAAUAUAAAUUUAGAGUAGAAUAUUAAAAAGUAAAAUAAAAAUAUUACUUUAAUUAUAUUAAAUAUUUUUUCAAUUUAUCUGAAAGCAUAAAUACGAAAAGUGUUAAUUGAAAAUAUUGGUUAAGUUUUAGAAAAUAAAAUCUUUUGGCUAUUCUUUAAAUAAAGCUAAUUGAGACAUUAUUGCUGGAACUAGUUGUAUAAUUGAUUUUGUACUUUAGAUAUCUUAACAAUUAUAAUACUGAUAAGGGGAGUGCAUAGAAGUUAGCAUUCGAUUCAAAUUAAAUUAAAUUAAAUUAAAUAAAUUAAAUAUUAAAAUUUUAAUAUUUAUAAAAGUUAAAUUAAUUUUAAUUAAAAACUGAAUUGAAUUGAAUCAAUUUGAUUUAAUUUAAUUUAAUUUAAUUUGAUUUGAUUUAAUCGAUUUAAAUUUUUAAUAAUUUUUUUUAUUUUUUAUAUUUAAUUUUUAAUAUUUUAAAAUUUAAUUAAAAUAUUUUAAUUUUAAUAUGAUAUAAUUUAUAUAUUAUUAAAAAUAAUAUACUAUUAUCACUAAUCAAUUCAAUUUAAUUUUUUUGAUUUUUUUCUGAUUAAAAUCAAAUCGAAUUAAAAUAAUUAAAAUUUUUAAAAUUAAAAAUUGAAUCGAAAUAAAUACAAAACUAAAUCAAAUUUUCAAAUUAAUAUUUUUAAUGAUGUUUGUAAAUAGUAUUUAGUUUUCCUACUAUUUUAAGUUAUUAUUUCAUAAAUUUUUAUUUUUAAUUAUAAUAAGGAAAAAUUAAUUAAAUAAAAUUCAAUUACAAACAGCAUUAAAAAUAUUAAAUUCACAUAAAAUUAAAAUUUUCAUUUUCAAUUAAAUUUAAUUCUCAUUGUCAUUGAAAUUUCAUCUUUUUAUCCAUUUCAUUAUUUUUCAAUCUCACUUUUAUUGGAUGCAAAUAAAUCAAAAUAGUUAUUAGUUAUUAAAAUUUUGAUUUAACAAGACUUUAAUUUGGUUCUUUAAAUUUGAGACUAAUUUAAAGACUUAUUUACUUAAGAGAUAAAUUUUUAGACUUAUUAUUUAAUUUUUUAACAUAUUAUUUUUAAAUUAAAAUUUUUUAAAUUAUAAAUUAAUUAAUUUAUUUAUAAAUUACUCAAAAUUUAAUUCUGUAAAACUUUUAUUUAUUAAUAAAUAAAUAAAAUAUAAAAUUAUUAAUAUUCAACUUAAAUUUAAAAAUGAGUCGACAUAAGUUAACUUGAACUCCAAAAAAUUUUAACCAACCAAAUAUGAUUUUUGAAACUUCAACUCAAUCACUUUAUAUUUUAUAUAUUAAUUAUAGCAUAUAAAUAAAUAUAUUAAAAUUAUAAUAUCAUACAUUAUCUAAAGAAUAAUACAUUAAUAAAAAAAUAGAAUAAUAAUUCUCGUAAUUAAUUUAUUAAUUCUAUAAAUAAUAAAUAGAAUUAUUAAUUAUUUUAUUUAUUAAUAUAGAAUAAAAGCCAUGGAAAUUAAAAAUGAGAGUAACCAUUUGAUCUUUUCGCAUGAAAAUGGAUUUUUUUUAAAAAGAGUACAUUUUCGUUUUUCAAAACUUUUUUUUUAUAAAAAUCAAUUUAUUUUCAUGAAAAUAUCGUUUUUAUAUUAGAAAUAUUGAUUUACUCGUGGAAUGAAAUUGCUCCGCCAAUAGCUCUUUAGAUUGUUAAACAUUUAAAAAAUUCAAAAAUUUUGCACAUAUUAAUUUAAACUAUUUUUUUUAAAAAAGAAAAAAGAAACAGAAGCAUUCUUUUUUUUCAUUCUCUUAAAUUUGACCAUAUUCAUCUCCUUGACUUUUUUUAUUUUAAAUAGCUAUAGUAGAUGUGAAUAAUAAUUAAACUUCUAAAAAUCUUUAAAAAGAGAUAAAUAUGAAUUUUUUUAGUUAUUUUUUAUAUCCACCACCUGUGAAUUCAAGCUCAUUUUUUUAAUUUUAAUUAUUUAAAAAAAAUACAAUCCAUUGACAGUCCUAAAUUACAAAAAACAAAAAAAUUGAAAAUUUUUUAUUCUUAUUUUAUUUAAAAUGUAUUAAAUUUCAAUAAUCAAUUAAAUGUCAUCCUAUUUAUAUCUCUCCUUACCAGACAAAAAAAUAAAUUUUUCAGGCAAAUUAAAUUUAGCCUUUUACUACUAUAAUACUAAAUUAUAAUAAAUAUUUGUAACCACCAUAUCAUUUUUAUAGAUAUAAAUAUAAAUAAAUAAGUUCAAAUAAUGAAUAUAAUAAUCUUCAAACCCAAUUUGCUUUACUUGGGAGAAAAAUUUACUUAAAUUGAAUCUAUAUAGAGCCGUAAUGUAAAAUGACAGUGAGAUUCACAUGAAAUUUUAUAAAUUUAUAAUAUGAUUGUAUGUAAAUCUGAUUUAAAUAAAAAUUACCUCAGAAAAUGUAAUAACCCAGCGAGUGAAAAAGUAAACAACUAAUCCUAAAUCAAGUAGAAUUAAUGUUGAAUGCAAUUAAAUGUCAAGAGUUAAACUAUUCUCAAGUCGAAUUACACUUCAUAAUUAAUCUCCAAUAAAAACAUAUGUUGAAUAAUUAUUAAAACAAUUAAACAAAUCACAAUUCAUGAUCUAUCUUGUUUAGAAAAUUCUUAUUUAGAUUCGAUUUAUGAUAGAACUAAAAUAGACGUAUAUGGAUUUUAGUUAUUUCAUGUGAAUCCUGCUUAUAGUUACUGUGUCUUGAGCUUCUAAAAAGAAAAUCAAAUGAACACCACUUUCAAUCAGCAGCCUCAACCAGGAUGAUCCAAGGCUGCAAAACUUCAGUUUUCACGACGCUACACCUGAAUAAACACACAGGAGCAAGCCACCCCAUUGCUCCAUCUACAAUAAUAGGCUUAGUUGCUUCUUUUAUUAUGUCAUUAAAUUCUCAGUGCUUCUACAUGUUGUGCAAGUUCUUUCAACACCUAUGCAAGGAAAAUAAUGAUUAGGCUAAUUAACAAAUACUUUCUGUUUUAACCAUGAACGUUUUUAGACUCACCAUCUUGGUUUCCUCAAUAGCUGUUUCCAAUGAUUUGAGCUUCUGGUAUGUGAAGAUCACAAGAAUCAGAGGUUUAAAGGGGAACAGCCAACAAGUGAUGCGUGAACGUCACUUACAAGGUUGGUGUUUGCAAGUGAUGCUUCCAAUGCCUGGAUUUUCUGAGCCUGAAGCUUCUCAAUUAAUUUGGUUUCCCUAAAUUCUAAAUCUUCUCGCGCUGUGGAGGUUGCAUUUGCACCUUUACUUUGGCCACUGUCCUACAAUGUUCAGCAGGUAAGAGACAUUAGUGAAGCACAAAAUAGAAGAGAAUGCUUUGCAUGAACAGCAAUCUUUCAAUCAAUUCUAGUUCAAGUGCAAGUAAAAGAUCUAUAAAGGUAAUUGGUUUGGGACUUGUAGUCCUCGAGGCAUUAGCUGGGGGCACAAAUCAUAAAUUAGCAGGGCUUGGAAAGGUGGACAACAUGGCUAAUGGGAAAUAAACCUAUCAAUAAUGUGCAGGAAAAAGAGAUAAAGCAUCAUAUUGUUUACCGGUGUCUCCUCUGAAGCCACACCAUUAUUUUCCCCAGUAUUAGAUACUUCUUCAGUAGCAGAAACUGCCUGGAAGAAAUAAAGAUAUAAUAUGUCUUUCAGCCGCAUGGAAGUAAAAUUGAAAACUAAAAAGCAAAAUAAAGACAUUGAAAAAAAAACACCUGAAGAAUUUCUUGUAUCUCUGGGUUGUUCCAGGGUCCUUUAUCGCUAAAUAAGCAACCUCCAUAAUCAGAACAUGUACAGUUCCCUCCCAGAAAACCUGGCAAAUUACUGUGAAAUCAAAGAGCAAAAACUUAGUGGCUGCAACAUAUAAAUGAAGCUCUAUAAAGAUUUAUUAUCCGAAGCAUUAACAUGCAUGUCAGAGUAUUGUGAUAGUACAUAUGCACAUAGAUAUGCAUAGGCAUGCCACCUUGCAUCUAUAGCUUCAAGCAGGUUAUUUUGGUAGUUGUAUCCCAGCACCUGAAAUUGAGAAUGCACGCUUUUAAAACAGCACUAGUGAUACAUUUUAAGACGCAUAUAACAAGCACAGCAUUUAAAGCUAUUGUUUAUAUGUGAAAAUAGUUACGAGCAGAUAAAUCCUUACAUGAAUCUUUGCUAAUGUACGUGCAUCAAGAAAAGCCCUUACUGCUUUCCAUAGCAUCCUGAACCCAGAUCCAGCAUUGACUAUAAAGAGCUGAUUUAGAGUCUGAAAAUUUCAAUCGCCAAAUAUCAUUCUUUGAUAUGUGAUGCAAUGAAGCAUGUACUGAUCUCUAACUCUACAGAAAAUAGCACUAAUAGUUGUUCAUGUAUCUUUAAAAUGACACUUUAAUACCUCUGGAUAGUAGUUGCUGUCAAUCUUCUGAAUUUCCAUAAAGAGGCAUCUCGCAGGCUUUGAGAAAUUGGACAUUCCCUAUGCAAAAUCAAGGUUAAUUCAUGCACCAAAAAAGACAAUUUUAACUGGCUCAAGUAGACCAUACAUUAUAUGAACCUCACCACUCCAUUCACAUCUAAAAUACUUGUCAUGGAAGCAAUAUGCCUCCUAGCUGCAAUUGAACAGGCAGGGAACCUCACAUUCAAUGUUUUCUCUUGUUCAGAUACAUGAUACUUGACAAAUUUUUCAAUGCUAGUCACUUGGAAUAGUCUAUUAAGGUCUACAAUCCCAAUCCUUUCAAUGUAUAUUGGCCUUCCACAUCUAUCAACCCCAUGAUAUCCAUGAGGAUAGCAUUUCUUUACUUCUGCAUAUUCCUCAAAAUUAAAGUCCUGCACUAAGUUCCAGAGAUAUUAAUCCUCCAAGAGUUUGGUCAAAUUCAAUAGGAGACAACAAAAUGGGAUACUAAGCCUAGUUUGGAGCUUGGAACCACCUUUGGAAUUGCAUCAACCUUAUAGCAUUCUCUCCACUUGAGAUAAUUUACCAACAUUUCUUUGGCUUUUGAAAGAUCAAAGUCCCUCAUUCGCAGAAAUCUAUGAUCACAGAAAUUUAAUCACCAUCUUCUCCCGCAGCAACCAAUCAAUAUCAGGUAGUCUAAUAAAGAAUACACUUACCUUAAAAGAGUGUGAUAAUCAUUGUGCUUCCCUAGUAAGAUGCCCUCAACAAACAGCAAUUCACGGAAAGAUUCAACGAGACGUUCAUCUUUUGGAUCAUGAGCUCCUUCCAGGACUUUUUGAAAGCUUUGGCUCCUUCCACGUUUCUUCAGCGAGUCCCGAAACUUGAAUGGAUAAGUUAACAUUGAUUUGAUGUUAGAUGAUGAAGAAGCCUUGUCUUCUCCUGCAGAGGGAAGAAGCCAAUGGGAUCCAAUUGGUGGAUGAAUGGACUUGGUCCUUUCAGCUGCCGACUGAGUUUUCAUGGGCACUGGAGAUUCCUCACCUUCUCCACCUCUUGAUAUGACUAUUUCCCGGUAAGUAUCCUUCGAUUUAAACAUAUUCACUCGGCUAAACUCAAUAAUUUCCCGAGAAAAGCCCCUUAAUUUCAGGAAUCUGAUUCACGUAGCUUAUGAAACGUAUAUGAAAGUGUUCCAAAUUUCAUGGUCGACUUCUCGUCAACUACAAAUUCAAUUGAUAUAAAUCAUCAACAAGAGGAAGAAAAGAGAAAGAACUGCAUACCCACAAGUUCUACAAAAUUAGCAUUUAGAAUUUUGCCAAAAAAGUAAAGAACAGUAUGAAGGAAUUCAACCCAAUUGAAUUUAGAUAAUUAUGAACAGAAACGAGAACGACCCAUAUGAGGAAAACGAAUUUUCUUGAAGGGGAAAGAGACAGGAAAUUAAUCUGGGCUGAAUCCAAAUUGGAUGGAGUUGUUGGAAAGCUGAAGGAAACAUGGUGAGAGAUCUAGCUAGAACAUAUGAAUGAAAAUUUGGGAGAAUAUUGAAGGCAUCGAAUGUAAUGCUUUGCCCUCCAGAACUGGGAAUGGGUUCCCAGCUUUUCAUUUGGAAUAUAUUGAUUGUGAAGGAAACUCCAAAGGGCUAAGGCAAGCAACCGUUAUAGUUUGUAGAAUCAAUGGAGGAAAAUGAUGAGAAACGGCGCCAAAAUCCACUUCUGGCAUAUACAAGUUUUCAAAACUGAAUCCUUGUAUUUGUAAAUUUAAUAUUAGAUAAUUCAAUUUCAUUGUCACUCGUUUGUAUUUUUUAUUUUUAUUUUUUGCUAGAUAUAUAAUAUGUCACAAACUUUUAUAAAAAAAUCAAUUGCACUCUUACUUUUUCAUUGUUAAUUUCUAACAUUUAUUUUUUAUCCAUACAUAGAUAGGACUUGCAUGAUUUUUAAAUUUUCAGAUAUUAAAUAGUAUAUUUUAUAAAAUUUAUAAAUUAAUGGUUAUAUUUUUAUAAACAAAAUUAUUUAAAAAUAUUUAUUUAUAGACUUGAGUAUAAGACAUAAAAUUUAGAGAACACAUUAGAUAUGUGCUCUUUACUCGUAUAAAUAUGAGAUGAAUUUUUUUAUGAUUUAAGAUAAAAACUCAUAUUUAUAUAAAAGUAUUAAAAUUUAAUAUUUUAAAUAUACAUAAUACGCUAUAUAUUACUUAGAUUAUUGUUAAAAAACCAAAGCUCUCUUUAUAUAUUCUUCUAUGAGUGAGUUUUUUCCUCUUUUCUUCUUGAAUUUUAGGAGCUCAAUCUCCUUUUUGUUUAAUUUUUUUAGGCUAGGUCAAUAUUUCAAUAAAAGUUUUGUUGAGUACCUGUGUUUGCUCUGUAUGUUAUUCUUGGCUUGUGUUGUUUCAAAAUCUGUUCAAAGUUUAAAUUUAGACUCUUUCUUUUGCCAAAAUUUGGUGAGAUGCAACUCUUCUCAAACCUUGCAAGGAUCAAAAUAUUUUAGAAGGUUCGAAUACGACACUAGGGAGGCUCUCACCUCCCCCUCUUGGCCUAUUCAGGCAGAUCUUUAGCUUCUCUCUAUAUCAAGACCCUAUAUAUAGUACUCUAGUAUUUGGUAAAAUAGGAAUUUAUGGUUAGAGAGGUAGUCGAAACUCAAGAUAAUACUACUAAAUAGAAUUUAUUUUCUCCUACCGCAUUAAAGUGCUAGUGAUACUUAUAUUAUGUUAGAAUUAAUAAGUUGGGUUUUGGUUAGAUGGUAUGAUUUUUUCUUUUUUUAUUUAAAAAAAAAAAAAAGAACACCCUAAAAAAAGAAAAUGCAAAUACCGUAUGAACGAUCUUGAGACUCAGUUACACUCUAUUUAUCUGACAGAUCAACCAUCAUAAAUACAAUAUCAUUAAUGAAUUAUGAAAAUAAUUUAUAAAUAUAAUAUAUUUAUUAUACGAAUUACAAUGAUAAAUAAAAAAAUAAUAAAUGAAUUGACAUAAUUUUAAUAUAAAUAUAAAUAAAUGUAAUUUCAAUUUUUUUUAUCGUUAUUUAUGAAUCAUGUAUUUUGAUAUAAAUAUAAAUAAGUAUAAUCUUUUUCUUUAUUGUAUUUAUGGAUCAUGUCUAAAAUUAUCACUGAACUUUGAUGAGAUAGUAGCUUAUUGUAAUUAGUUUCCAUCUAUUUUUUUACAUAAGUAACCUUUUCUUUAUCUGGUUUUCUUAAGUUGGAUAAUUCAUCACACUUAAUCUUAUGUGAUUAAAAAAAAUUAUUAAUUUCAGUUGGUUUAUUCUCUAAAAAAUAAUUGAAAAAAAGUAUUAAAUAUUUAGUCAGAUUUUUUACUUAAAAGAAAAGUUAAAAAUAAAUUUCAAAAAGGAAGUCUGUGUUAUUUUAACUAGUUAAUUUUCAAAAUUGAAUUGAUAAUAUCUAAUAUAGUUUAAUUCAGUGGGUAAAUGAAUAUUACCCGCUGAUAUCCUCAUUUCUUUAAUUUCUUAUUAAAAAAAUGAAUAAUAUAUUAUAUCAUUCACCUAUAAUUUUUAUUCAUUUUAUUUUUUUUAUACAUAUUAAUAAAUAUAAUUUUUUUUAAUUUUUUAAUUAUAUUAAAUAGGAAAUAAAUAUUAUUGCCUUCUUAUCAAAAAAAUAUCAAUGAAGACUAAUCGGUUUAAACUUGGGGAGGUGGGUACUAUGAUCCACUUCAUGGGCUGUCCAUUUGCAAAAAUCUCAAACCUAAAGGAAAGACAUUAAAACAAAUAGAAAUAAAUGAAAAAUUACCUUUUUUUUUUUUAAUUAAACACUUUUUAUUAAUAAAAUUCAGAAAAUUAAAUUUAUUUUAAAAUGUCAAAUUUACACCUGCUCUUUAUAGCUUCAUUUUUUGCCUUAAUGCAAGUAUUUCACACAGGUCAAACCCACCUUGGAUUUCAACUUUCAUAUCAGAUGUCAACUCUGGCGCACGUUAGCCCUGGUUUAAGCUUUCCCACAAGGAUGCGCAUUUCCUCCUGGCAAACCCAACCCUCCCCUUCUCCAAAUCAUAUAGAAUCUCAAACCCCUGCUGCUGGUAGUUCCCCAGUAUCGCCCCGGGCCCACCUCUCAGCUCAUCCUCAUCUCCUCCGUUCAUUAUCAGCAUACACCCAACUUUCCUCUUCAUACUUGCUUCAUCUCCACCGUCCAAAAAUUCAUAAAGGUAAUUUUCCCUAGGCAGCACUAUACUAGAUUCGUUCCCCACAAAAUGUAAGACCAAACUAGGGACGUACGCUACAGUAUCAUAAUAGUAACACGGGCCGAGCCCUGUCUUUUCUUCAAUGUCUUUGGCUCUAUUGUGGAAUCGCCCAACUCGGUUGUCAAACUCAGUCACCAACGAGUUGUACAAACUCGCCGGCAACAUAGUAAAAGUGGUUCCAGAAUCCACAACCAAUCCACCGCUUCCCUCUCCGUCCACACUUUUCAAAAAUGCCGGUGCCGGAAUUUUCUUCUUGCCAAUAGAAAUCCCAUUGAGCCCAACGCAAUAAAAAUAAGGGUGUUUCGGGUUAUCAAGCAUAGAAGUGAACACAAAUUGAGGACGAUCAUUGUUAUUUGCCAUUUUCUUCUUCUCGUCUGAACGACCAAGAAUGAGUGUGCUUGGGAGGCGGAUUUGGUCUGAGUCAAAUGAAUGAGACACCAAACAGUAUGAGAACUGAUAACUUAGUUGGGGAGAGAAGGAAGCCAGCUGAGCAGGCAAGGAAAGUUCGCCGCGGCCGAACCCAGCAACCCCAACUGGCUCGGCUAGGGCGGUGUGGGCGCAACCGAAGGUGAAAUUCUGGAGUAUCAAAGAUGGGGUUGCAAAUGGAAGUGCUAUAGAGUCACGGUAAAGGCUAGCAACAAGACUCCCAUCACCGUAUGCAUAAUAGAAAGGAGGACAAGAAAAUGAUCGGCAAUCGGAAGUUUCAAUGGACUCUAAAGGACAAUUAGCAAUAGCACAGAGAUUGGAGGUGGGGAGGUUAGAAUGCACAGAAGAACAUGCAGAUGAUUCACAGUGGACCUUUCUAGCUGUGGUGGAAAGUUUCAGUGGCGGAGCUGAUGAAACAGUGUCGUUUUCUGCUUUGCCUUCGCAGAGAAUGCAUUCGAAGGGGUGGCAAGGGAACCAGACAAGGUCGCUGCCAGUAUCAAGGUAAAGGGAGAGGCGUUGAGGAGGGACAGAGUUAAGAGUGAAGGAAAGAGUAUAAUCACUACCCGGAGAGAGAGGAAGAGAGACUUGGCGAUGGUGGUGGGUAUGGAAGCGGGCGGCGGAGCGGGUGGAGGCGAAUUUGAGAAGGUGGUGGGUGGAGGUGAAGUGGUGAUGGGAGAGGGAGUGAGUGAGAGGGAGAAAAAGAAUCUGGGAGAUUGCAAAGGGGACAUGUAGAAGACAGAGAAAGAAACAGAGCAAGAAAGAAUAAGUAGUGGCCAUGCAGUUUCAGGCAGGGGAGGUUAUAAACAGAGUAAUAAUCACCGGAGAAAUGUAAGCUCGGAGAUAACAGUGAAGGUGGCUUGCGCCGCUAAUUUCAGGGUUGGAGUGUCGUCUCCUACCUCAAGCAAGGGAUCUUAUCAAGCCUUGCAUGGAGUUUUCUCCGUGUUGAGUUCAGAAUUCCAAUCGAAAUCAACUGUGCGCUAAAAAAAUUAGUGAUAUAAGAAUAGAUUUUGUCCGACAAAUUUGAAUCAAUUGCUAAUUAUAAAUGGAAUAAUUUUACAAUUCUUUUGAAAUUUAUUUUUAAAAAAUAAUGGUGAGAAUUUAUUUACAAUGUUUAUCGCAAUCCAUCUAAUUUAUUGAUAGUCCGGUGAUAAAUUUAAUUACUACCUGCUUCCUUGAAUUACUUGGGGGAAAAGAAAUACUUGCAGUGACAUUAAAGAAAAGCUGCCUGCUUGAUCAAAUUUGGAGAAUAUACACUUUCCUUUUUUUCCACAUAUUAAAAAAUAUAAUAUAUUUUUUAAAAACCCUAUAUCUCUCUCUUUUUCUUCUCCUUUGCGGGUUUAGUCCGUUUCUUCUUGCCGGAGUCUCGGCCGUCACCUGCCUUGACUGGACAGGCGGCCGUCUUUCUUCCCAACUCCAAGAGUUGAUUCUCCCUCCCCGUCUCCGGACGGAGUUAUAUUUAAAUAAACUUUUAUGAAGUUAAGGUAGUUUGUAAAUGCAAAGAAAAUAAUAUAAAGGGAGUAAAAUUUUGGUUAAAACCUUCUAAAAGUUUGUUGAAUCAAUUCAACUAGAAAUUUGAUUUAUUUGAAAAUUUAAUUGGAUUCUAUUUGUAUUUUCACAUUUUUUAGUUUAUUUGGUUAUCUUCAAAUUAUACAUAUAUAGAAAAAAGAAUUUAGAAAAACUGAACUAAACUAAUUUACUGUCUUUGAAAUUUUAUUAAUUGAUUAACAGGUUUAUAUAAUUAUAUUGAUGUUCUUAAUUAUAGAUUUGUUAAUAAUAUGAAGUUCACCCUCAUUUUAGAAGGAAAAUUAAAAGAGCUAGGUUAAUUAAUUAAUUGCAGAAAAAUUAUAAAUUGUAAUAUGAAAGGGACAGGAAAGACUUGAAAAUGAAAAAUGGGUCCUAGAGAUAAAACCCCCGGGACUUAUUGUCCCAAAAUGGGCACGUCUAGAAGGUUCCAUUGAGUCCACCCAACUAAUAAUGUCUCCCUUGAUUUUUAUACAUGUCCUUGAAUGAAGCUCCUUGAAUAUUUGCACGUACGAGUAGGUGAAAAUUGAGCAAAUCUAAAGAUAUUUGUUUAGGGUUAUUGCCCUACAUACAUGGGAAUAGGACCCCAAUUGAACAAGAUUAAUGGAAGAGGAAUCCAACACAGUGUACCUAGCUAUAGCUGCAUGUUUCAUGAUUCAUUACUUUCAAAUAAGAGUUUAGUCCUUAACCCUUCACAUGUUGGUCCUUUUCAAUACACUUUGUUUUAAUUAAAAAAUAAAUUCUUUCCUAAAAAGCACCAGUUCCAUUCCUAAAGCAGUUGGCUUAUUUGGCAUAUAACAAGCAUAACAGUGAACUAGGCUUAGCAGUUGUCCAAAUUGAACCAUGAACCAGAUCGAAACAGCCUAUUAGAGCUAGUUCCAAUUCCCCCUUUUGAACCAAGACUGGAACCAAUUCUCAAAUGAUCUGUUUAAUUGCCAGUUCAAAUUGGAACCAGCCCAACUUAAACUUUCAGUUUAUCUUAAUUUAAAUUACUUGGUCUGUUUGCUCUUUAAUUUUUUUUGCUGUACAUAAAUAAAUGACAUUAUAAAUCUAAAUUUGUAAAAUUUAAACCGAAACCACAUUAAACCAUAACCAUUUUAGAAUGAGCCUGUGGUGAACUGCAAUAGGCCUACAAAUUUUACAAUUACAGCUCCGAGGCCUAAAGCACCUAAUAAAAAUAAAGGGGGAAGGAUGGCUGCAGGCAGGACUUGAACCUGAUUAUUCCCCAAACAAGUAUGCAAACAGACCACAAAAUAAAAUUUAUAAGAAAAUACUAACCAAUUGUAACUUCAAACUUUUGUAGCAGACAUUGCCAUACAUAAAGGUUACAAGGACACACCAGAGAUUUCUAUAAUACUGAGACAGUUUCAAUGAACAAAUGAGGGCUCAAAUGAAAAUUUCUGAACACAUAAUUAAGGUUAUCAAAUUAGAGAAGUCAAAUCUAAGAUCAGCAUCUGCCACAUUACAAGGCCAUACCCAUGCCAAUUUAAUUUUCAUCAACAGAAACACAACCUUUAUUAAUUUUUCAAUUAUAUUCAUCUUAAAAAUAUUAAAUUUUAUUAAAUACUAAUGAAUAUUUUGAAAGGCUUUUUAAAAAUAAGAUAAAAUUAAAUAAGAUUGUAAUAGUCAAAUUAUAUUUUAUUAUAGUGUAAAAAAAGUGGAUAAUAAUUUUAAAAUAAUAAAAAAUUAAAAGAUAAACAAAAAUAAUUAUACAACGGAAGGAAUAUCUCACGGCCAUUGCAUGUGACUAUUAUAUUGAUUUGAAUUUAUUUGAUUCAAAAAGGGAAGAGUGACUCUUAGACACUUGGAACACCGUCUUAUAUAGUUCUUAGUCCCUAAAUGCUUAAGAAUGGCUAGAGCACUUCCCUCUCUCCCCCUGUUGUGGGAUGCUACCAUGGUCUUGUACAUCACUUGUAUGCUAAAUAUGCUUCUAUACUGUAUUUGUUUAGAGCUCAAUUGGUAUCUUAAUCAUAAAAAUACUUUCUUUGAUUUUUUUUUUCUAGUGACUAAUGAUUGCAUCUAAAGUGAUGUUGUUUCUUCUCUCAACUCGAGAGUUCUUAUUUGAUUUUGUGGCUUUAAAUGAUGGAUUAAUACCAAUUUGUUACCUCAAUCUAGUUGGUAUUUUCAUUGUUGUUGUUUUUGCUCUCCAUGAAAGGUAGGGUAAUAGCAUAGUGAUUUCUUAAUUAAGGGGAGUUUGGAUCCUUUGCUAGAGUUUUAUAUGAAUUGAUUUUUAUGCGGAUCUAUUUAGCUUUAAAUUGAUUGGACUACCUGUAUUUCGUACAACUCUUAUAUUAAGUUUUAAAUCUUUAAAUAAUAAAAUCUCUUAUUUUAGUAUAAAAAAGAAAAGAUUAGGAUUUUCAUUUUGAAUGUUUUACGUAUUUUCUUUUUAGAUAAGUCGAAACAUCAUUAUUAAGAAUUUUCUUAAAUCUCUUUUAGAGUAAAAAAAUUUAUUUUUUAAAUAAUUAUAUAGAUUUUUUUUAUCACCGUUAUAAUAAUAUAUAUAUUCUGUGUGAUUUAUUUCUUUAUAAUUUUAUUGUGUUUAUUGAUUAUAUUUGAUUCAUGCCGAUUUAGGACAUAGUUCUAAAGAGAGUUUCAUCAAGGAAUAUAGCACUAGAGUUAAAAAAAAUAUAGUUAAGCUCUUAUAACUAUAUGAAAUUAAAAUGUCACAACCUCGAAUCCUCUUCUCGCCUGAGUUUGAUAUAAGAUCCAUCAAAGCCUUGGGCUUUUAUAAUAAAAGCUCGCCUGUUUGGACGGUAAAUACACUUAAUAUUACAGUUUUUUAACAAAAUAACUAUAAAAGGCAUAAUCUGCUACGCCGUCGCUCAUCGUUUGCAGUAUGCGUCCCCCUCCGUCCAUCAAUCAUUCACUGUCAGUCUAAUGACUUCUGUAAUCUCCAAAACCCUAGUAAACCCCUAUUAUUCUCUGCUCCGCAUAGCCCGAUUCGCUCUGACUUCUCACUCACAACCAUUCAGUAGAGUCCGACACAUGAGCUCCGAGUCAUCUCAGCAAGUUUUCCAGCUCAAGGUCGACCCACUCACUGGUAACUCGGAGUGGGUUGUCAUUAGAGAAGACGAAGAAGAAAACUUUGGAAGUUCCCAUAAGAAUCUCUUGGCCACGACGUCGUAUUUGGACAUGCUCAAUGACUCCACCAGAAACAGAGCAUUCCGCGAGGCCAUCGACAAGACUAUAACGAAACCUUGCCAUGUGCUGGACAUUGGGUAUCCAUCACUCUUUUAGUGCAAUUGUUUAAUUUGAUUUUUAUAUUAUAUUUUUUUGAAGGUUUAGAUGCAGAUAUUGAAAAAAAAAAAAAAAAAAAAGAUGGCUUCAGCUACAAUAGGUAAUUUUUCAUUUUCCUUAAUUCAGCUCUGUUUGCUGUUUCUGUUUGGUAAAUGCAGUGCUGGAACUGGGUUGCUGUCAAUGAUGGCUGCACGGGCAAUGAAUUGUGGUGAGCCAACUUCUGCCAAUACAAAGGAGAGGGUAACAGCUUGCGAGUCUUAUCUUCCAAUGGUGAAAUUGAUGCGAAAAGUUCUGCACCUCAAUAAUAUGGGGAGGAACAUAAAUGUAAUCAACAAGCGCUCUGAUGAACUCAAAGUCGGCGUAGACAUUCCAACGCGUGCAGACGUUCUGGUGAGGUUUAAAGUGAUUAUAUUGAAUCUUCAUGUCUAUAUUUCUGUUGAUCUUGACAUCUAGAACAACUAAUAAAAGAUUAGAGAUGCAGUUUAUAGAAUAGAUUAUCUUUAUAGAUGGAUAAUGCGGUAGCAUAAGGGAAUGCGGAACUUGAAUUGGAAUUGGAACAUUGAACUACUACUUCUUUUGCCAACGGUGUUCAUUAAAAGUCCAUUACAUGAUUUGAGUGGCAAGCUAAGGUAAAAUCAAUCUUCCCAAAUGGGCCCAUUAAAUAAAGAUCCAGAGAGUAGCAUGACUAGCAUCACAGUUUGUGUUAUAGGAUUCGAUGAGUUAUUGCCAGUUAGAGUAUGUUUUACUGUCAAUUUAUUUUAUUAUUUAUUUUUAUUUUUACUCGAGAGUUAUUCUACUUGCAGGUUAGUGAGAUACUAGACUCAGAGUUACUGGGUGAAGGGUUAAUACCGACUCUGCAACAUGCACAUGACAUGCUGCUGGUGGAAAAUCCACUAACUGUACCAUAUCGUGCAACAACUUAUGGCCAGGUAUUAGGCUUUACCACAUAGGCAUUUUUUACCCUCAUUAUUCAUUUCUAGUUCUAACAGCCUUACUCUGUACGACACAAUUGAAACUUCGAACAGAAAUACAGAAUGGCCAAAAAGUUAAUUCGAGUCUCAAAUAGUUUUCUUUAGAUUAGCUUGAGCUUGCAUAUACAUAAGGCGGUAAAAGAUUAAGGAACAGUCUUUCUAUAUGCAUAUAUAUGUGUAUGUAUAUAUGUUGUCAACAUUUGCAUUCUUCUAAAAUGGGUGAAUACAGAGGACAAUGAUGAGUUGUGAUCCUGUAUCAUCCUUGGGAGGUGUUUUCGUGUUUUUUGUAUACCCUGAAAUUCUUUUGAUGUUUUCCACCCUUGAUUAGCUUUAGACAAGUUACUCUACAUCCAAAUCCAAACUUGCUUUUGCUUUUGAAAUAUUGAUAUAUGCUUCUACUAUUUUCUCCACUUUUUCCCUUUUGGUUAUCAACAUUAGUCUAGUUGUAUAGUUUCUCUUUUUCUUUCCUUUUUUUUCAUGCGUUGGAAUAACUUUGUUCUUCCUUAGCUUUUCUUUCAUCAAUUCUUAGAAUUAUUAUUAACCGACUGUGCUCUUGGUUUGAAUGAGGAUUCUUUUAAUCAUUGUAAAUCUCACUAUAUUGCAUUAUUUUCAUUUUGCAAAUUUCCUCGUCUUCCUCCCUUAGCUGGUUGAAAGUCCGUUCCUGUGGAAGCUGCAUGAUUUAUGUGAUAAUGAAGCAAAAGCAUCGGAUGGCAUUCAUCUUAUUCCAACUGGCUUGGAUAGUAUUUUACAUGUCAAAUUGCAGCAACAUCCCAUGCAUUGUGAUGCAAUCUCAAAAGAAAUAAAACUGGUAAUGACAUAAUAACUUUUCUACAGACUUCUUGGAGAAUAAAAGUGGUUUAAGUCCUCUCAACUUAGGAUUCAUCCAGCUAUCAGAACCCUUCAAAAUUUUUGAAUUUGACUUCUGGAAACGACCAGACAGCCAUCGGGAAUCUGAAUUGCAUAUCAAGGCCACUGAUGAUGGUAGAGUUCAUGCUAUAUUAUCAUGGUAAAUAUUUUCGAGCCAUUUAUGUGGCAUUUUUUCCUUCCUAGUGAGCAUGGUAACCUAUUUAAUUUCAGGUGGAUGCUGCAGCUUGAUUGUGAAGGGACAAUCUUUUAUUCCACUGCCCCUCGUUGGAUAACCACAAGUGAGUAGAAUUACCAUUCAGCUUUUAUUGUAAUCAUUAUUAUUAUUUUCAUUCUCUGUUAAUCAUGUGUUAGUUUGAUCUUCCAAUCAGUCAAUUUAAAGACUGAUCAUGUUCUUGUUUUUAGUUUUUGUUUUUAGUUUUUGUUUUUAGUUUUUGUUUUAUGCCAAGCAAAUCCAAUAGCAGUUGGGUCAUGGUGUGAUUCUCUUAUAAUGCGCUUAUCUAUUGAAUUUUGUGAUUUUGUGGCAUUUUUCAUCUAUGGAACUUCGUAAAGUAUAAGCUAUAUAUAGAGAGAGUUUAUUGUGACAAGUGACUUUGUGGCCCUUUUUCUUGAUGUUGCUUUCAGAUAGUUCCUCAAGAAUUUUUGGUCCUGAACUCACCAUUUGUCUGCUAAUAUGAUGUUUUGUUUUAGAAGUUAGGUUUUCAACUCAUCGAGUAUUAUUUGUUGAUUUUCAUUACAAGUUGUAAUGCUUAACUAGGUACCGGGAACUGGUGUGAUCAUUGGAAACAGUGUGUGUGGCUCAUUCCUGGGAAAGGUAUACCUAUAGGCAAGGGUGAGCAGCUUCUUUUUCGUGCCAUUCAUAAUGAUACUAGUGUCUUCUAUAAUCUUGCAAAAGAAGAUACUGAGGUCAGGCAGUAUAAUUUUUACUCUGGGGAAUUUGACCUUAUACUACCUCCUGAAAGGAUUGCAAUCUAUGGAGAUAGUAAAUGGAGGUUUUCCAUGUUAACAGCUCUAAGAAAUGCAGUAAGAUCUCUCUUCCUCUCUCUCUCUCUUUCUCUCUCUCUCUCUUUCUCUCUCUCUCUAAUUUUCUGCAUUUUUUACUUUCUUUAAUCAUGAGUUAUAUUUUGCAGUUGCAGGCAAGAGUUCAACCCCUCUGUGUUGUUGCAGACGAUAGUAUUUUUCUAACGCUUAGUGUUGCAAAUAUUUCAAAAACUGCACAUGUGAUAUCUUUGUUUCCUGGGUUGCGGGAGAGGGGUGCCCAAUAUCUGCAGAGAGUUGCUGAUGCCAAUGGUUUCACUGCAGAUCGUGUAAAAGUUCUCGAAAAUAAGAAAUGCUUAACUCUGCAAGAUACUAAUCAGAAGAAGGUAAGUUUUUGCACACAAGUUGUGCUUGUCAAAGUUUUUAAUUCUAGAUAUUCUUAGGAAAUUGUUCCUGUUACUUUUUUCCAUGUCUCUAAUCCCCUCUUUAUAUCUAUUGCAGAGGAGAGGUUAAAAUGAAUAAAAUUCUAUUUUUUUUUAUAUAAUUUUAUAUUAGAAAGCUAAACAAUGGCAUGGCCUAGCCCGCCUCCCCUUCCUAUAAAUCCUUCUGCUGCAAUUCAAGUAAAAUAAUACCUGAUAUCUUAUAGUGGAUGUCAUCCUUGCUCCUUAUGCAUGUAGUCCUGCAAAUUUAUGCUUAAUGCUUCUUUAAAAUUGAGAAUAGAUUAUGUCCAUCUGCAUUUGACAAACAAUUGGAGAUUAUGCAUUACAUUUGCAGGUUGAUCUGUUGAUUGGAGAGCCAUACUAUUAUGGAAAUGAUGGAAUGCUUCCAUGGCUAAACCUGCGAUUUUGGUAUGUAGAUGCAUAGUUUUUUACAUAUAGCAUGGUUAAUUGGACAUAAGUUUCUUGUAUAAAGCAUAGAUAGUUGGACAUAAUAAGUUAUGCUAUCCAUACAAAAUUUUCAUUCAGGUUGACAAUUUAUAUAUGGUUUUUGGCUUUGGAUUAACUUUAGGAAGGAACGAACUGUGUUGGACUCUGUCCUCUCUGAUGAUGCCUUAAUAAUGCCUUUUAAAGCAGUAUUGAAAGCUUGUGCCAUGUCACUACCAGUAAGGGGAAAAAAAGUUAUUUUAUUUGUCAAUUUUUUCAAUAAAAAGCUUGCAGCUACUCAAUGCAUUUGUCUAGUAAUGGAACCAAUAUUUGAAAUCUUGUAGGAGCUAUGGAAUAGCCGCCGCUGCUUAAGUAAGAUAGAAGGCUUUGAUCAUUCUAUUGUAAAUACAACCUUAGGGGCAUGUGGUGAAUUACCUCCACCACAUGAUGUUCCACUUCUGCCUUUUUUCAUCUGGCAAUGUGGAGAGAUUAAGGUAAUUAAUUACAUAAAGUUUAUUGUUUAUGGAAAGAUGGUGUCCUAGAAAACUAGUAUGAUCGCUACUUUGUGUAACUGAUUCAACUAUAUUGAAAAUUUUUAGGAACUCAGUGAGAGAUUCACAAUAAUGGAGUUUGAAUUCUCAAAGCCAAUAACUCCAUGUCAUGGAAAAGCCCAGGUAUUCUUUUUUCCCUUAUAUCUGAAGUAUUAUUGAUCCUGAAUAAGAUCUUUGAUCUAGUUAUCAAAUAGAUAAGAAAAUUUUUGUGGUUGUGAAAUAUGUGAGAAUGGACAGAGCUUAAACAUGAAACAGUAUUUCAAUUUUUGUAAAAUCCUUUUGUGUGGGAUUGAAAUGGCUGUGCAUAGGUUUUAGCUGUUAGUGAUCUUGAUAGGUAUGCUAUGUCUAGCAUAAAAUAAUAAUGAUAUAUAUAGGCUUAGUUAUCAAAGCAAAAAGACAAAAAAAGAAGAAAGAGUCUAAUUUUGAUAGCAUUGGAAAUGGAUUGUUACCUAUGAUUACACUGUAUCCCCAGCAUAUACUUGCUUAAUUUAUAAUUAUUGCAGGUCGAAUUUUCUGAAACUGGUAUAUGCCAUGGAUUUGUGAUAUGGAUUGAUUGGGUGAUGGAUGCAAGGAAUUCCGUGGUGUUAUCUACUGGGCCAGGUAUAAUUUAUUCUUCAGUCGGUGAAAUUGAAUUGGAACUUGGCUUGUCUAUCACAGCUACUUUACCUCGUUGUGCCUAUCAAAUAUGGACAAUGCAACCUUUUUGAAAGAAUAAAAUAAGUAAUCAUUUGUGGGGAUACUGCAAAAAUUGCCCUCCUUAGUCUUAUAAUGUUGUAAUAUGUAUUCAGAUGAGAGGUACUGGAAGCAAGGAGUGAAACUCCUUGCACAGCCAGUGGCAGUCAAAACCCGGGGAUCAUCUACAGGUGAAUAUCUAUAUACAGAGAUCGAAGCAUCGUUUGAUCCAUCAACCGGCGAACUUGCCAUCAGCCAUGCCUUCACAUAAUGCGUAAUGUAAGCUAAAAGAAUAUUUUUUGUAUCGCAGUAGAUGUACAUUUGGAUUCCAUGUUGCCUUUUCUUUGUGUUACGUCAAUGUCUGCAUUUCUUUUUCCAUUAAUAACCUACAAAUGGAGAAAUUCUUGUGUGAUGUUAGUCCAUCACGUGUAUCUGUGUACUAACCAUCCUGUGCCAAUCAAAUGCUAUAUGUGAUUUUUUUUAAAAAAGAGCAUUUUUGAGUAUUGAAAUUUAGCCGAUCUAAAUUGAUCAACGUCCCGUAUUUCAUUUCUCACGCUGCUAUUAAGGAUCACACUUGGGAUUGGGCUAUCCAACACUACAAGCCUUAUUAGCAGGCCACAAUUCCCGGUCGUUAUGCCAACAUCAAUACCUAAUGUCCAUGGAUAAUGAAAUAAAAGGACACACCUCAAUUUGGCUUCCUAAGGCGCUAGUGUACGCUACAUGUCAUACUCAAAGAACGAGUUGGUGAAUCAAAUAUGCAAGGAAUAGAAAGGAUCUCCUUCUCAUCUUUAGAGAGAGGAGUGAACUAUCUAUUUAUCCAUUCUGCAUUUAAGGCUAGUCCCGAUUUUCUUGCCAGAUGUAGGGGAGGGCAACUCCUCCGCACAGUUGNNNNNNNNNNNNNNNNNNNNNNNNNNNNNNNNNNNNNNNNNNNNNNNNNNNNNNNNNNNNNNNNNNNNNNNNNNNNNNNNNNNNNNNNNNNNNNNNNNNNNNNNNNNNNNNNNNNNNNNNNNNNNNNNNNNNNNNNNNNNNNNNNNNNNNNNNNNNNNNNNNNNNNNNNNNNNNNNNNNNNNNNNNNNNNNNNNNNNNNNNNNNNNNNNNNNNNNNNNNNNNNNNNNNNNNNNNNNNNNNNNNNNNNNNNNNNNNNNNNNNNNNNNNNNNNNNNNNNNNNNNNNNNNNNNNNNNNNNNNNNNNNNNNNNNNNNNNNNNNNNNNNNNNNNNNNNNNNNNNNNNNNNNNNNNNNNNNNNNNNNNNNNNNNNNNNNNNNNNNNNNNNNNNNNNNNNNNNNNNNNNNNNNNNNNNNNNNNNNNNNNNNNNNNNNNNNNNNNNNNNNNNNNNNNNNNNNNNNNNNNNNNNNNNNNNNNNNNNNNNNNNNNNNNNNNNNNNNNNNNNNNNNNNNNNNNNNNNNNNNNNNNNNNNNNNNNNNNNNNNNNNNNNNNNNNNNNNNNNNNNNNNNNNNNNNNNNNNNNNNNNNNNNNNNNNNNNNNNNNNNNNNNNNNNNNNNNNNNNNNNNNNNNNNNNNNNNNNNNNNNNNNNNNNNNNNNNNNNNNNNNNNNNNNNNNNNNNNNNNNNNNNNNNNNNNNNNCUAUCUUGGGUGCAAAAGAAAUAUAUAUAUUCUGCAAAUUGCUAAACAACGAUGGUAUUUCUCUUGUUUCUAAACAGAUUGGAUUUCUUGGUUCUUUCAUCUUCUUCAUUUUCAUGGAAAAUUUUACCCUUGUCAAAAGAAUUACCAGCUCAUGUUCCUCGUUUUGAAUUAUAACAGAAAUGAGCUACGAGACCAGAACAAUUUAAUUUCUGAUCCUCCCGGAGUACCAACUGCUACUCGAUUUUUGCUGCUGUUAUUUAAAUGGAGUUUGCCAACAGAAAAAAAGAAAGGGAAAAAAGGUUUUAAGUAAUUUGAUGAAAUUACGGAAACCCUUCGAAAUCCAAAACCACUGUAAAUAACGAUGGUCAAUGUCUUCAGACUCCAUUCAACGACCAACCAAAAUUAAAUGUAGAUCAGCAAUAAAACAUGACAAAAAGAUAGAUGUGUCGCAAUCAAUCAUACACAUACACAAUUCCAAAAUCUUCCUUCAGAACAAUUCAUUUUAUAAUUAAAAAAAUUAAAUAAAUUCUCAUAAAAACAUGCAUAAUUUAAAAUUCUUGAUUCCAAAUAAAAAAAAAAUAAAGAUUUUAAUUAGAAAAAUUAUAGCAGAAAGAAAAGGGUUAAAUUAAUGUCCUUAUUUGGAGUAAUUUUAUACAAAAACGGUGAUAUUACAUGAAAAGAAAACUCAAUAAAAAUUUAAAAAAUAAAAAGAAAAAAGAAAAACCUAAAAAAAAACUACCAAAUAACUUUUUUUAUUUGACUGUAUUAUUUAUCUACCUAUCAAAUUUUUAGUGGUCUAACAUUUUGUCAUAACCAAUAAUUUUUCCCUUAUUUUGAGAUGUAAUUCCAAACAAAAAAGUAGAGUCAUCAUCUAUGUCGUAUUUACCUCAAGGGGCAUGUCAAAAAAUCGCAAGAGGUAACCAGCGUUAAAAUAAAGCAAAAGUGGGUGAAAAUUAUACCCUAUGAGAUUCUUGAGGUAUUAACAACUCUGCGUAAUCAUCCACCGUUACCUGUUUCAGAUAGACCAAUUUAAAAAGAAAAAUAAAACUAUUAAUCAAUUGCUUUAUGCGCAGAGACACAGAGAGAGAGAGUUCUAGUACCUCAAAUAUUUGGCCACCACAUGUGUACUCUACAUAUAAUUCCUUAGGUUCUCCAGGACAAGGAUCACAGAAUCCCAUAAUACCCGAUUUUUUAACACCCUCGUGAAGCUGCAACAAUAUGAUGAAAACCAAAAAUUAAAUCAAUGUCUACAUUAUGCCAUCUGUGGAGAAAUAUUCAAAAUAAGAAGGGACUCGGUUUCAUCUACACUCAUUGAACUUAUCCCAUUUUUCACAACAAUCAUUAAACUUCAAUCAAUAUCAGUAAAAUCUUUCAACUUUAAUUUCGUUUCAAUAAGGUCGAUAUUGUUAUAUUUUGAUAGAAAUGUCAUUGCUGAUUACAUCAACCUAGAGAAGUCACAAGCGUGCUAAAAAAAAAAAGAGAGAUUUCUCUACUUUGACAUGAAGUCAUGAAGAAGGCUCUGUCAAUAUUAGACCUUUCUAUAAAUAUAGCACUAAAACAAGUAGAAUUAGGGAAAAGGACGUUUAUAGCUGAUUCCAACUGUUGCCCAGGACUGACUAUAUCCAUAAUUGAAAACCACAAGAAGAAGAAUAUAGAAUUGAAAGAAACAUACCUUCAAUUGUCCAGAAUCAUUAACCAGGAAAUUCAGAGGAACUGUAACAUCAAUGACUUCAAAAGCUAAUUCAUCAUUUACUUCUGUUAGUCCUCCUUUCUUCAAAGCUUUUCGACUUCCAUACAAUGCUUUAGUAAUAAUCAAUCCAUUUGUUUCCACUUGCCUAUUUCUUUUCCUAUUGGCCACAACUUGUAAUAACUGUUGUGCCUUUUCUGCUGCUACCCUUGCCUCUUGAACCUACACAAGGAUUCAGAGGCAUUUUUGAAGUAUUGAACAAGACUAGAUUGAAAAAAGGAGCAAAUAAAGGCAAUUCCCAAUUUCAGUUUAGAAAAUAUGACACUCCCAAAAAUAUCAGAAUGCUUGAAAUGAUCAAAUUUGCUGAAUGAAUGUUAGAUUGGACAUUCUGCCCAGUUUUCAUACCAUUUUGAUAAGAACUUCUCUAACAAAAUCAAAUAAUACUAGUCUUAAAUUCCUCGAAUUAUCAAUAGAAUAAAAUACUGAUUUCAAGAUUAUAUUUGACGAUGUAAUUGUAAACUAUAAAAGAAAAGACGACAUUUUGGAAGUAAGAUUACAUUUGACAAACUAAACUCAAAUGAAAUAGCUGUUGCUAGCACGCUAUUUAAGUUAUCAGGUCUUGGAACAGAGCAAAGCAAGCAUAAACCAAAACUUCUUUGGGCAAAUGGGCAAUCAAUACCUGGGCAGAAGUUAUCUCUUUAUUCUCCAAAGCUUUCCUCUUUUCUCUUUGAAGGUAGUAAGGUUUGACAACAAAUUUCUGCAUGCGCACAAAAUUUAUACACAAUUAAUAACAAUGCAGACACAAAGUCUAUUCUCAUACACCUCAAAUAACUUGGAGGACUACUUCACUGAACAUCUCCAAUAAACUAAGUCGCAUUUGUUGGACAGGUGAUGACCAAGACCGCCAGCAAAAAUUAACAAAUGAAAAAAACCAGUGAUGAUUCAUGAACAUGAAAAACCAUUACAGUGAGAUGCAAAAGAUAGCUUGAAUAAUGAGAAAGAGCCACCUGAACACAAAUUCUGUCCAACUUCUAAUUCAUAGGAUACAAAUUUUCACCAAACGUGAAAGGUACAAUCCAUGUCUAAAUACCUUGAACAUGAAAUCUUCCUUUCAAAGAAAGUACCUAACCUCUCAACAAGCUAUUGCUCAUUAUACAAAAUAGGAAGGCAUGCUCAUGAAGCCAAGAGUUAUACCACGUGCGCAUUUGAGAAUUUGAUUAUAUUUCACUUUAUAACAAAGGAAAAGAAGGAAAAUAAACAAGAACAAAGAUUGCUCGUGGAAGAAAUGAAUUAAGCUAUAGAAAUAACCAGCGUUGUCUCCACAGAGACAGAUGGACAAAAAUGGUUUAAACUUGGAAUUGUGACAUGGAUGUUGUGUAACACUAAGCCUAUUGGGCUCCUAAUGAACUGGGGAAGAAGCAAAGUGAAAAGAGGAACCCUGAGCUCAACUGAGUAUGCAUCAACUAAUGAAGAACUUAACAUGCGUGUAUCUAAUUCAGUUGAACUUGCAAUAACUCCAGCUGCUUUGAAAUGGAAUUGAAGUUAAAACAAAAAUCAUACCACCUAGUUGGCUACCUUACAAGCAAACAAUAAGAGUUCAGCAUCAGUAAUAGUAAUAACCUUGAGUAAAAAGUAAAGUGAUGUAGGAAUUAGGAAUGCUCCAGUUGCAAAAGUCAAAUUCAAAUGCCUGGAAAGCAAUAUCUGCAUAUAACACUUCAUCAGCCCAAAAAAAAAAAGUAAAGAAAAAGAAAUAAAGGAGAUGGUAAGAUGGCAUAAACAAAUGAGAUAUUGAGAUGUUAGAAAUAGUCAUAACUCUUCUAGAAAACGAAAAUAGCCAGGUUGCAGAAUUGGCAAAUUACAUCAUGUCAUUCUGUUAGAAUCAAGUUUCAGAUAAAAACUUUUGAAGAUAUGACAACAUAUAACAUCUAUAGUGUUUUGAAGAACAGUGGUGUAAGGAUAGGAUAGAAAAUUGCACUCCGAUGGAGUCUCAUCGCUUCAAAUGCCUCUGUGGAAAAGAAUAUAAUGUGUAUAUAUAUUAUACACACCCCUCCAUAAGCCCCAUCCAAACAAUUUAAAUUUUAAACUUUUUUUUUCUUUUAAAAAGUAGAAAAUCAUCACAUUUCAACACAAAAGCCUACCUCAAAUGUUAGACCAUCAACUAUCAAGAAAUCAAUUAGAAAAAAUGAUUGCUCUAACAUAUAUUUUAUUGCCAACGUUAAUUUUACUAAUUAUUUUACCAGACAGAAAUUUUAGAAAUUUUGUCUGAGACUUGAGAGCCUUCCACCAGAAGAGGGAUUAGAGCCAUCCAUCAAGUUAAAAUAACUGGCUAACUAAAGUAACCCAGAUGCUUAAUUUGUGUUUAAGUGGAUUAAUUUUAAAAUUUGCUGCUGCAUUUCUGUGUUUGACCAACAAAAUAACUCGUAUAAAGCUGCAAACUUUUACCAAGCAAUAACUCCUAUCUAGAAUUCCUACUGCAGACUAAGCAUACGAAAGGAAUAAAAUUUCGAGCAAAUAUAACAUGCCAAGUUGAAGCAAGUGAAAGGAUAAGAUUUGCUCACAGGAAUAAUGAACUUUUGCCCACCACGAUGCAAUUCAAAUUUCCAAAAGAUACCCUGCAACAAAAAUGAGUAAGAUUUUCAGAUAUAUAGAAAAGCAGUAACAACCCAGAAGACAAUUCAACAAAUAAAAACUAAGUGCUUGACUUUCUUGGAUUAUGCUUAAGCAGGUAGUUGAUUUGAUGGGAUGCUUGAGAGUGUUAAUCAAAGCAAGGAAUAAUUAGGCUACUUCACUGAUGCUAUGGAACAUUUCUAUUUCUUCUUCUUCAUGAGGGCUUAGGCACUAGGCCGAGUGGGCCACCAUAUUCUUUCCUUAAGAAUAAGAUUGCAAAAAGUUGUUCUGGGAUCAGUUCUGUCAGUUUCCAGCAUUGUAAUCAAUUUAUUCUGGACAUUCAUACAUUUUAGGCAUUGAUUUCUUCAAUAAACCUUCUGUUAAACUUUCAAAGUCAACGCUAUUUAGCCAAAAGUUGUCUCUAACCUAAUUGGUGCAUUUUAUCAAAUCAGUGCUAAUACGAUGGCAUUACGCCUUUAGUCAGGAAGACUUCCUUAAAAUGUCCCUUAGCAUACAACCUCUGGUAUUCCUAAGCAUAACAAGCAAUACCUGAAUAAUACUUUAUAGAAAGAAGAAAUCAUUUAUAGAGAAACGUCAACAAGCAAAACCAGGCACAUAUAUACCUGAAUAAUUCUUUAUACGUUUAAAAAACAACUUUAACAGUUCAUGAAAUUUUCUCAGCAACAUCAACAAUCAAGCCUUAGUCCCAAACUAGAUGGGUUCGACUAUAUGAAUUACUUUUCAUUAUCAACUCUGUUUGAAACCAAUUUUUCAUUAAAAUCCAAAAUUUAUAUAUCUUUUGAUACUACUUCCCUCCAUAUCAUUGAUGUCUCCCCCAUUCCCUUCUCACUCCUUCUGCCACUAACUGACCAUACUUCUGUACUGGGGCGUUAUAUGCUCUAUGUUGUCCGCACAAAUCUCCCAAAAUCCAAAAUUUUAAACCAGAAUAACAUUUUUUAUAUUAAGAGAAUAAAUAUUUAAGGAAAAAGAUCCAAGAUUACAACUUCAAGGAUAAGUUAUCUCCUAAUCUAGUCAACAAAAAAGGAUUGAUGAUUAAUAAAGUAAAGCCCUCCACAAUACUAAACAGAACUUAAAGACACUCUUCUAAAAGCCCCAAUGGCAGAAUCUGACAAGGAAGCCAAGAAACCGUCUUGUCACUUAACAGAUUAAAUAGAAUAUCAAAAUAACAUAGAAGCAUGAUAUGUCAUCAUUUCUAAUACCUGAAUUCCUAUUGUAUACAGCAUCCUCACAGUGCUGAAGUUGGACACUUUUCUUCCCCCACCAACUUCAAUCUCCAGAGCCGUGCUGCAACAACAAUAUCAAAAAUUAUAAGAGAAAUCUGGCAUUCUUGAUCAGCUCAAUAAUAGUGGAUAAAUACGUCUUUUACGUCACAGACUUUCUCCAUGAAUGCUAGCCAUUGUGGACCCCAGAACUUCUCUUGCAUAACUAUUUGCUUUCAUUGUUCCAGAACCAAGUGAAAAUUCUGAACAAUUGUUGAAACCAUUUGAAUCCAAAUUUUUUGGCUUAUUUCAAGUAGUGAGGCAAUCAACCUAAAGUGAUUUAUAUAAACUUAUGAUAAAAACAUACACACAUCUGAUGGAUAAACAAGCUGAAACCAACAGAGUGUGAAGCAUCUCAGUUUCAGCAUUAAUACCAGAUGAUUGCUGACACAUACGAUGGAAACUUCCUUCCCAUUUCAUCUGUGUAUAUUAUUCAACAAGGUACAAGAGAGUUUUUUUACAACAUUUCUUUUUCUUUUUAAUGAUUAUAACAUUUUAUAAGCUUACAUUCAUUCAUAGUCCAUAUCAUGAAAAACAUGAUACCUCACUAACUACAUUUACAGCACAAAACAAAUGAGAAUAAGGCAAACUAAUAAUUUCAAAUAAGAUAAUAUGCCAACAAUAUUAGUUAUAACUAUAGAAUUAUUAUCCAUAUAAGUUUUUAGCAUAUACCUCCCAAAUGUGCCUGCAAUACGACCAUGAGAUACUGACGAAAAGCGAUGGGUGUAAUUAGCUGAUGCUCCGAAAGAAGUGGUACCGAUCUGUGGUAAAUAAACAUAUUAAAAAAAGAAGUGAUAAGGAUAACAAGCGAGAAGCAUAUCUUAAAUAAAGCUUCUAAAAAUUAGCAAAAUUUGAACAUAACAAUCACGAAGACAACAUAUGGAAACAUGCAUUUAACAAGGUAGAUCAACAAAAAUUGUUAAGUCAACCAGUUGAUUAUAGACAACUGCAAGAAAGGAAGGAGCACAGAUACUGGUAGUGUUGUUUCACCUAGCAAGCAACCAGAGGGUACACUCAAGACAGAAAAAAUGAAAUUUGUGGAUUUGGUAGUGUCUAUCUGAACAAAAGAAACCACUUAAAAAAAUCAGCUAAUGCAUACACAAUAAAACUCCAAACUUCUAGGCAAAUAUCUGCUUGCCUGGAGUAGUUCUAACUCGUAACGUUAUCUAAUUUUUCAUUCCUCAAAAUUUUCCCAAGAUUUAGCAUACUUAGAACUAAAUUUCUUGCUAGCUUAAAUAGCAAAUAGAUGUACCUUCAACUCUCCAGCAGCAGACAUCUUUUCAUCCUUCUUCUGCCAUCCAACUGUUAUAGAUGAUUCUGGACCUAAAAAAAGCUGAACCUGGUAAAAAGGAUAUAAACAAACAGCAAUUGAAAGAUGUUAGAUGUUACAAACAAGUAAAUUUAAAAAUUCAGUAAGCUACUCAAGCUUACAAAAAGUGUUCACAACCUCAAAUAAUCUGAAGAGCAUUCAGCACUACAUUUCAACAGCAAAUGUGCCGCUGCAAUAAAUAUACUUACUUGUGAAAAGAAACCCACACAUGCAUGCUCACAUACGCUUAAAUUAAAAACAGCAUACAUUUCCAUUUGCUGUUUCAGAUAGUUGUCGGGUCCAAGUAUUAGAAAGAUUGAUUGAACCAUCUCUCAAAGACUUUGCAAUGGUAAUUGUUGCCGUUGAGUGUAAAGAUAAGUGACUGGAAAACAAAGGACAAAUUACUGAAUCGAAAAUAGAUGUGCUAGAUAGUCAUACAGACAACAUGAAAAAUCAAAUGAACUACCGUGUAGUUUGUACUCCAACAAGUGCCCGCAAACCAGCUGAGGCCAUAAAUUCUAUGGACGAAACUGAAGAAAGCUGAUGCUUAAGCACAGCACUAGCGGCUGCACCACCAGAACUUUCUUGAACUUCCAAAUUUCCACCAAUAGCAAUAGUAUUACGUUUUGAUAAUUGGAAAUGAACUUCACUGGACAUAGCCAUUCUGAAAUAUAAAUUAAAAGCAUGAGUUUCAUAAAAGAAGGGCACAACAUAUAAAAAAGUAUCCAAUAAAAUUCACUCUGAAAAUUAAGGUAAAAAAUGUCUAAAAUCAUGAUGUAGAAAGGUUAUAUACUUUUGUUGGACUAUGAUAACUCAUACAGGUAAUUUAUCUUUAGCAUGCCAUAGGUUUAUUGAUCAUAUAAUAAACUACCAGUUUAAAGAGAAAAGAAAAACACCAUUAGCAUUUGUGUGUUUGUGCAUUGUCUCUAAGAAAAAAAGAGAUCUUUUUUUCCUAUUGCAUGCUCAUAGGUGGUCAAGUUUCUUCACAUGUUGAAAGUGUUUGGUAAAUUAUAGAAGAUAUCAAUCAAGUGUGCAACAACCAUUCAGGAAGUUCUGAAAUCAGAUCACAUGAAGUUUAAACUUAAAAGAAGAGGAACGGUUAUGAUACCCUCUCAUUAUGCCAUCACCAUCCAGAAACUGUGGCAAGGAUAAGUGGGCCAAUAUUGUACCAGACGGUCGGAAAUGUGCUACCAUCUUUUGGUGCUCUUUCCUCCGUCUCAACCUUUCAAGUUCUUCCUUUAACUCCUCUGGUUUGUUCAGCUUUGGACCAAGUUCCAAACCAGAGGUUAAUCCUUCCAUACCAUAUACGUCAUAUAUUUGCCUUUUACUCUCAUCUGAUAAUACUUCAUAUGCUUCACAUACCCGUUGAAAGUUCUGUGUAGCUAUUUCCUUCAUCUGAAUACAAGCAUCCAAAAGGAGGAAAGGAAACAGAGAGGCAAAAUUCUAAAAUUAAAACUAUGAAUGUGAAUCCAAGGAAAUAAUAAGUGCAUUUUAGGGAGCAAAGAGCUACAUGGACAGAUCUGGAAGACAUAAUAAUUCUACCAUUUCACUGCCAUGCCAAAUUUACAGGUCAAUUUCUAAGGGGCGGAAAUGUGUCUGCUAAGACAGAGUCAGAAGUCAAAACCAUCUAUGGCAGGAAGGGAGAUGUGAAAACUGUCAGUAGUCAACUAAUUGGCCCAAUUAAGUCUUUCCACUUUUAGUAUAGAAGAAUAUGAACAUUUAAAAUUACUAAACCAUAAGAAAAACAUGAUGUAUAAGGUGGUCUCCACUGCUUAUAUUUAUAAUACAUGAACAUGUAAACAUAUAUGAACUUCAUUGUUUAUGAUCACACAAGCGCUAUUGGAAUUCAUAGGUGACUACUAAAUGAUAUAUCAAUAAGCUCAUGUCAUAUUGGACAAGCCAAAGAAAUUAGCACAUAAAUUCUGGGCCAGAGAAACGUUCUACUUUCUUCAGCUCUUCUACAUGUUUUGCCAGGUUCUUUAAGCACCUAGUGAAAUUAGUUCCCACAUUUAAAAUCAUUCUUCUUAGCUUAAGCAAAAGAAACAUAAUUCAACAAGUUAAGCAAAAAACUAAACCCGCAAUGCCUCAAAUAAUUACACCACCAUUUCUGUCACUGCCACCAAACACACACACCAAUACGUCUUGGAUACGCAAAAUUUAUAUUUUAAGAAACAAUGGGCAUAAAAAUCGAUACUGCAACUAACAAAACUUAACUUCGUGCCUAUUUACAAUUUAGGGGCAUACAUGGAGGUCUUGGUAUUUGUCAGGGUGGUAGACUUGGGCCCAGUGGCGAUAAGCCUUUCUAAUUUCUUCAUCGGUGGCCUCCGGCGACACUUGCAGCACCGCAUAAAGCUCUCUCUUUGGCUGUCCUGCGUCUUCUUCCAUUUCUUGAAUCCAAUUCAGUGAGAGGAGAUUAUCUUCUGAAACAUAGGCACAGAGAGACGAAGCUAUGAAAUGAAAGUGAAAAACAAGGGAGGGUUUAGGGGUUUAUGGUUUUUGCGAGUGGAUUUUUUUUUUUCCGAAAUUGCGAGCAGUUCAGGGAGGAGUUUUGAGACUUGCACCGCCAUUUCUUGAGGGCAAAAAGCUAAUAUCACUUGUUUGUGACUGAAUUCUCCAGUACUGAGAAUCUGAGAUGCCACGUCAUCCGUCGUCUGGAGGUGUAAGAAAUUGGGCUUUUCUUCCUUUCAUUUAUCCUAGGCCCCCAACCGCGCGAAAAGGAAGGAUCAGCCCAAAGUAAAUAUCAAUUUCCAGUGAGCUUUUAAAAAAAUUUUGUUAUUUUUUUUCUUUUUUUAUUAUAAAAGAAAUGUGAAGCUUGAAACUAUAUCACUAAUUCUUGUCUAUACUAAAAAAAUUAAUAAAUUUUAAUUAUAUAAUUCACAUUUCACAUUUAAAAAAUAAGAGUUUAAAUUUUAAUUCCAAUUAAGUCAACGGUACUAAAAAUCAUUAUUUAACUUUUACUAUGUUUGCUUUUAAAUUGGCUAACUAUAUAUUUUAUAUGAUAUUUUUCACAAAAAUUAUUUUAUUUUUAAAUUUUAUACAAAUUUAUAUGGAGAAACGCGCUGUGGGCUGGAUUGACCUGAGCGUGCGAGGUACAGUGUAUGCGGAUUGGACUGCCAAGCGAGUUAUAGUGCGAGGUGCUGGCUAUCUGUAGGCUGAAUGCGAGGAAGACCACUCAAAAGCUGCUAUGCCGAUUUUCUGUGGUAGACUUACGGAUUCAACAAGUCUGUCAAGCCGUGAAAGAUUUCAAAAUUGUACGGAGUUCGUCCGAGAAGCUUUCUAACCUCUCCGGAACAUCUCUAGAAUAUUUCUAGAGAAAUAUCUGGCAGGAAGCUUCUCCAAUAAUCCUGAAAUAACUUGAUCUUUUGCUAAUUGUAUAUCAAAAUGCAUCAUAUACCUGCAUUGUAGGUAUAAAAUAAUUUUAUAUCUAUUUUGCACUACAAUUUAAAUAAUCUAAAGUCAAAAGAUAAAUAUAGAAAGAGAGAUAAUUUAAACCAACUCUUUGUUUAUUAUAUUAAAAAAAAUAUUAUAUUUGAUGAGCAUUAUUUGCAUAAUAAUUUUUUUUAUCGUGCAAAACUGUUUGUACUUUUAUAAUUAAUCUGAUUAACUUAUAAUGAAAUUACAAAUAUCGAACCGAAAAAAUCUAAUUAUAUAUUUAACUUAACUCCUUUUAUUAUGUAUUAAAUUCUCUUACAUAUAUCGAAAAAAUAUUACCACUAAAAGUAAACAUCUAAAAGUAUUCUUUAAAAAUUAUGUAUUAAAUUCUCAUACAUAUACUAAAAAAAUAUUACCAAUAAUUAUUGUCCAAACAUUGCGAAGUAUCUCCUCUUACUAAUAUUAUCAAACAAAUAAAUUAGUUUCCUAAUAUAAAAAUAUAAAAAGAGAUUUAGACAAAUAAAUUAGUCUCCUAAUAUAAAAAUAUAAAAAGAGAUUUAGAGAGAUGAAAAAAUAAUUUCAAAUUUUCAAAAAAGUAUAAGAAAAUAUUCAACUCAUAUAUCCUAUGAAAAAUAGCUGAAGCGAUAGAAAAAAAAAAAAGAAAAAUGAUGUCAUAAUAAUUACAAUCUUAUAGCUAUGGAGGGUAGAGGACACUACUAGUAAACUCGCAUAACGAUGUCAUGUAUUAUGAUAUGCAAAUUAAUAAAAUUUACAUAAAAUUAAAAUUUAUUUGAUUUAAAUUGAUUAUUUUUUUAAAAAUAAUUUUUUAUAAAAUAAUUUAAUUGAUUAACUGCGUGUAAAUAAUUUACUUCUCUUUCAUUCCUUUCAUGAAAGGAAAAAAUGUUUUUAGCUUUUAAAAAAAUUAAAUAAAAAUAUUAAUUAAAUAGAUAUAAUUUUAAUAUUUUUUAUUUGAAUUAUUUCAAUACCUAAAGAUAGCGAGGGGCAAAGAAUUUGUUGCCUUUUUCCUAACUUCCUAUUCCGGUUUGACACACGACAACACGCCAUCCGCACCCUCGCCCACAAAAAGACAAACAUAUUUAAUUCAAUUAGUUUUUGUCUAAUUUGACAAAUGACUCCACGUUUCUUUGCCUCUUAAUCAUAUUCUUCGGUGUACCCUUCAAUUCAAAAGACCCUUUGUUUUAUGUGUGAACGAAUAGAAACGGAUCAAGUAUUUUUUAGUAACUAAUUUGAAUAACUAUAUUAAAACAGGUGUGGAUAAUAUAUAAUCGAUUGAGUUUAUAUAUUUAUUAUAAAUUAUUCAAAUCGUUUAUAUAAAUAAUUAAUUUAACAUAAAUAAAUUUAUAUAUUUUAAUUUAAAAAAUAUAAUUUAAAUAUUUUUUAAAAAAUCAAAUUUAUAAAAAAAUUUAUUAAUGAAAAUAUUUGUUAUACGUAAAAUUAAUUCAGUUAUUAUUUAGAUAAUAAUAAUUGAAUUUUUAAAAUAAUUUAAAAUGAAUUUAAAUAAUUUAAAAUAUAUUAAAAUAAUAAAAAAAAUUUAAUCAUGUUGAAAUUCAAAUAUAAUAAUUUUCACGAAUAUUAUACUCCAAGCCAUCUCAAAUGUUCAAGCACAUGAAAGGGGCUGCAACUCUAGUAUUACUUAAAGCCAUUUGGAUUUUUAUAAUUUAUUCAUUUUAUAAUUUUUAUCUACUCUAUUUUUUUAUAAAAAAAUAAUUACUUUAAUUAAAAUCAAUUUUUUUAUUAAUUUUUUAAUUAUCUUAAUUUUUAAUAUAAAAUAAAAAUAUUAUUUUCUAUUGAAAUAAUAAAAUUAAUUUAAAUUAAUUACUAAGAUAGUUUAAAUUUUUAUUAAAAAAACAAUUAAUAAUAAAUUAUUUGAGAAUAAGAUAAAUUAAAUAAAAUUAUAAUAUAAAAAAAUCAAAACAUUGAGACAAUUAAAAAUAAAAAGUGCAAAAAAAUUAUAAAACAGAGUAUUUAUUAAUUAAGAACACAUUGAAAAUAAAAUUUUAUUUACAAAUUAAAAUUUAUAUAUAUAUUAAAAAAAUUAUAUUUAAUAAGCACGAUUUUAUAUUUAUAUCAUACACUGUCCAGUUUCGGUAAGUACAGCCGACUUCAUAUGUACAUUAUUGCGAGGCUUAUCUCUUGACUUUUGCAGACCAUAUCCAUACAAUAUGUAUAUACAUAUAGAUGGAUAAUCUGGCUAGGUUGAAUAACUAUAAGAAUAAAAAUUAAGUGGUUUAAUAUAUUAAAAUUACAAAUAAUAUAUUUGUAUAAUUAUUUAUUUUAAUAAUAUAAUAAAAAUAAUAUAAAUUAUAUUGUUAUUAUUAUUGAUGACCGCUGGAUUUCACCAUCCCAUUACAAGACUAGACUCAUAAUGACAGUUCUAUUUGAGCGCCUUUAAGUCUCCUGAAUGGGCCGAUUCAGUCCGUUCGGCUCUGAGAUCAAACCUCUCUAGGCCUCAAUUCCAAUCUCUCCAUCCAGUCCAAUCAAGAGGGGAACAGAUAAUCAGCCCAUUGGUCUGGUGGAUCCGUUCGCAAGCGCGUCAAAAGAAAUUAAAUGACCGUUACGCAUGGAGUAGAUGUCUGACAUAUUCGUACGUACGGAGCUGAGUGACAGAGACAGCUAGCACUGUAACAGAGAGGCAGAUAUACAUCACGGGUAAAAAAAGAGGGGUUUUUCUUCCUUCUUUUUUCUGGACUCCAUUUUUCUUUCUCUUUGUAAUUUUUGUCUAUAUAUACUACUUUAGUUCAUAAAAUCUGACUGGAAUGUCGGAGAGUCUCCACCGGGACAUCUCCAAUAGACUCCUUACUAUUUUUUUUCAUUUUGCAGAUUUUUUGCUCGAAGCACGUAUUGAGGAACUCAUAUAAUGGACCGAAAAGAAAAUCAAAUCUAUUAAAUGAAAAAAAAAAAGAUUUAUCAAUUAUUAUUAAUUAUUUUAAUUACACUCAUUAAUUUAAUUUAAUAAUAAAUACAUUUACGUAAAUUUAAAAGAUUUUAAAUUUUAUUAAAAUCAUUUUAGUUAAUAUAUAAAUUAGCUUUUAGUCAUCGAGUGAUUCUGUAGUGGUCCAUAUGAAUGCGAAUGGUGAUGUGCUGUGGCUAACGGAGACUUAACGAUGCGCUUGAAGACAAAGACCUCGAAUAAUGUCUCCACAAAUGAAGUUUCUUCGAAACUUCGCCCACCAAUGAAUUUGGUGUUUUUUUUUUUUUUUUUCUUUUUAUAAAAAAAAUAACAUGGACAAAAAUAAGGUAGAUUUUUUUUUUGGAAAAUUGCCUGUUAUGAGAUUACAAAUAUACCCAUUUUAGCAAUUACUCUAUUUUUUAUCCUUAAAAAAAAAUUAAAAACUCAUUUUUCUAGCACUACACUUUUAAAGUUUUUUUUAAUUAUUUAAUUAUUCAUCAUAUGGAAAUCUACCCUUCAUAAUACUUUAAAAAAUUAUUCUACUCAUAUUUUUUCUUAAAAUUAAAGUUUGUAUUAAUAAAAUUUAAAAGAAAAAUUAAUAUCAGGCACUGCUCUUUUACUUUUAUUUUUAGUUUACUUAUAAAAAUAGGUUUAAAUAAAUUUUGCACAUAUAAUAUAAACAACUAAAGGGGUAUAUCCGUCACACCAACAUAACUGAAGGCAAGGAGAAGGAAAAAAAAAUCCAAAAAGGCCAAGCAAAAUAAAGACGAAAACGACAAAAAUAAAUUAAAAAUAAAAAGCAGCUUCAAUUUAUUUCAGUCACUGAUGAAAUGAAACUGAAAAUCUCGUACAAAUAACCCACAGAAACCAAACAGCAAAAACUCAGAGCUUGGUUUCAGUACUAUGAUGUCUCUUCCUUGAGCUUCAACAACUUCAUCCCAAAACCAACCAUGGGGUUACCAGUUGCAGCGCUAGCAAAGCUCAAACUGGGAUUAUCAUUCUCAUCCUCCCACGCCGUCGUUUCGCCAUUCCUCCCAAGCUUGAUUUGCCCUUUCGUCAUAAAACUCGCCUGCAGACUCGGCAUGGUUCGCCGAGCUUAUUCCGACAUCAUCUACGCAUCAAGGCUCUUCAUUUUUCAACUGGGUAGAAUCGCCUUCGAAGACAGUAACCAAGACCAGGCUUUUGGGAAUAGAUUGGGAAGAGCUCUGCGGUUGGUUAGCCAGAGGGUGAUUCGGACAAGAAGGUCUCCUGCAACAACUCAAUCAGAUGAAGAUAGCUUCCAUGCUCUCUCCAUGUUUUCUCUUUAAUUAAACCCAAAAAUUUGAUGCUUGUCCAUUAAUUAAUCAAGGAUUAUGGAUUUUAAUGAUGUUUUGCUUUUCAUGGAAAAUCAUAUAUAUAUAUUAAAAUCAUGAUGUAUUUUAAUUAUAUAGCAAAUAAUUUUUUUUUCUCAAAAUCUAACUUUUGGAUCUUUUAAUUAAAUUAAGAAAUUGAAU
rnacentral:lncRNA from 1 species